rnacentral:lncRNA from 1 species
AAUGUCAUCUUUUAAAACUAAAAUACAUGAACCAUGUUAAACCCUUAUUUCUUAGCAGCUAUGUACUUCAAGCAUUACUAUGUAUCGGCUCAAGUAUUACCUGAAUUCCAUGUUGUGGUCGAAGGGUGAGAAUAGGUAUUGGAGAGUGGACAUAGGCAGGGGAGAGGGUAAUUGUGUAACGUUGUAGAAUCAUGGAGAGAGCAACCUUUGUUUCUAUUGUUGCAAAUGUCAUACCAACACAAGAUCGAGGUCCCAACCCGAAGGGAAAAAAUGCAGCCGUGGUGUAAUUGGUAGCUUUGGCAAUCCCUUCAGCGAAUCUCUCGGGUUUAAAAUGAUGCACAUCAUCUCCCCAAAAGUGAGGGUCACGGUGAAGUCCAAUAUUUAAAGGCAGAAUAUCUAUAUUAGCAGGCAAGAGCAGUUUUCCCAACUGAACUUCUCUUGUAACUGCUCUUGCCAGGCCAUUUGAUGGACCAUACAAUCUUAGAGUUUCAUUGAUGAUCAUGGUCAUCUGUUUAGGAAAUAGACAAAUAUGUUAGAUUGCAUAAUGUUGAUGGCUAUUUGAAUUCCCAGUUAGAUAGUUUUCUUACUAUUUUGAGUUUCGCGAUGCCUUCGAGAUGUGGAUUUUGGUUACCAAAUAUGUCAAUCACCUCUCUUCUCGCUUUUUCUUGCCAAUCUCCGUGGAUUGCCAAAUGCAAGACUAUCCAUGCAAGUAAGGAAUUAACAGUUUCUUGUCCAGCAAAAUAGAAUGUUUUGCAUUCAGCUACCACGUCUUCCAAGGAAAGCCUGUUUUUCGCAUCCGAAUCAUGAUAGGCAUUUAGAAGUAAUCCAAGAAAAUCACUGCCAAAGCUAUUGACUUCUUCAUUCACAACUUUGUCUUCUCUUUUCUUAACAAUCUUCAUCACACGAUCUUUUAUUUCUUUUGAAAGUUUUUCAGCCUCUAGCAAAUCAGCAGAUUUCCACAACUUGCUGCAAAAGCAAACCAGGGUCAGCUAUAUAUAAGGAGAAAACCAAAUCAAUGGGGAAUGAAAGUCUAAAAGUUGCAUUCAAAAGCUAGUUGAAAUCAAGGUAAAAGUUGGGAUUAAUUAAGCGUAGAGGGAAGAUACCUGAUCAAAGGAAUUCUAGUCUUGGAAAGAUUUCGACUCAUAAUUACUGUCAACUUUCUCAAGAUGGCAAAUAUCUUCUCCCCUUCCAUGUAAUUGCUACCAAAUGCUGUUCUGGAAAUCACUUCUGAAGUUAAUAACCUAAAUUCUUGGUACACUUCAAUCUCUUUGCCUUCUUGGCCUUUCCACUUUUCUAGCAUUGUUUCAACACUAGCAAUUAUUGCUGGAGUCAUGUUCUGCCCAAACAAUCCUCCUAUAUGUAAGUAGUAGUGACAUAUAUAAUUGUCAACACAAAAUCAUGAUUUCAAAUUAAAAAAUUUGACAAAUAAACACCUUUUCAAACUAGAUUUUAAUCCAAGUCAAUAAGUUAAAAGAGUGCUUUUUAAUGAAAUUAUAUAUUUUUUUAAAUCUCUUACUCAAUUUUUUAUUUUACAACAUUAAGUCUAAAAUUCAACGUCCAUAAUAAAUUUAUCCUUAGCUAACAAUACAAAAUUUUACCAAAAUAUUGUAGUCUAUGUAUAAUUCUUGUAAAUUAAUUACCCCUAGUUUAUAUAUUUGGAAGACUUACCUUUAGGCUUUCCCCAUGGAAAGUGUGAUUGGCCAGCUUUCGAUGCUUUGCCCAUUUUUCCCCCUCAAUGAAUAUAAGCCCAUUCCCCAAGAACUUCCUACCAAUAUCUGAAAGUUUCUUUUUCUGAAAAAUUUGUUCACUAUUUUUCAGAACCUCUUUGACUAAUUCAGGCUCUGAAAUCACCAAUUCAGCUCGAGCACCGUUCCAAUAAACAAAAUUCUUCCCUAAUAACAUGAAAAGAAAAAGGGUCUACCUUUUCUUAGAACUACAAGUUAUAAAUCAUAUUGAAAAAAACAAGCAUGGAUCUUACCAUAUCUGUUGGUCCAGGUGUAAAUAUGUGGCUGUACUUUGGGAAAUAAAUCAUCUGUCAAGCCCACAGAUUUACUUAAAGCUUUUUGUUUCAUUUUGGUAACUUCCUUGUUGUUGCCAUGGAUGAAUCUGUAAGGAGGUCCUUUGAUCCCUUGUGAAUUCAGCAUAUGCUGAAUACGGAGGGGUAUCCAUAGGUAAUCAUAAAGUAACUUUAUUAAAGCUAUGAAGAAGAAGCAACAUGGAGCAAGAAUUAGAAGCAUCAUCAGCGCAUUCAUUUUUCUUCUCUAAACCAGAACCAUUUCCUCCUUUAUUAUAGCAUAAGGACCAAAAUUGCGUUUGCAAUGACGCAAAUGGGUUCGUCAUAUGUUCAGGGUAGGUUGGUCGUAUAUGUGAGAGAUUAAUAUUAUAAAAGCCAAAACACCAGUCUAUGAUGCCAUUCAGGUGGAUAAGUAACAUGUCUAAAUUUUAUACGCGUUCAUUCCUUGCAUUUACUUAUAUCAUAUAUCCCUCUUUUUGGGAAUGAAUAAAAUAAUGAAGCAUUAUUCCUUUCUAACCCUCCAUUCUCACCACACUACUCUUUUUUAUUGUCAAAAUCUUCAUUUUCUACACAGGUAACACGUGAUAACGUAAAUAAACAAAAUAUAAUUUUUAAUAGUAUACAUCUUUAUAAUUUUUAAAGAAUUAAAUUAAAUUUUAUUUUUUUUAAGGAUAAAAUAUAAUUUUACUAUUAUUAAUUUAAGAGCAUGUCCACUACUCUACGCUAUUGUUAAAAACAUCAAGAUUAGAUAUGAAAGUAAAUGUGAGACAUUAUUAUAAGCCAAAAUAUCAGGUCUAUUACGACUUACAAUUAUUGAGGAGGACUGCACUGAUUAUUUAAGUGUUUUUCAUCGUUGUCUUGCAAGUAAAAAUUGCCAAAUAUUAGAAAACAAAUUUUGCUGGUUGCAGCAUAUUUAAGACAUAUAGACGGAUACAAUAUUGUCGGGAACUAUGGAAAAAGAGCAAUAUCACCAAGUGGGUCCGCUUUAAUUAUUAUUUUUUAAAUAGUAUAUUUUUUCUAUUAUUGGCUACCAGGAUUUUUUUAGCCCACUUUAUCAUUUGAAUUUAACAAUUAGGUCUAUUUUAAUCCCUGAACAUACAAAAUUUAAAAGUUUGAUUAUGUGACAUGAUCAUAUAUAUCACUUGAAAAUUAAAAAAUUAUAUAAAAUUUUAGGUGAUGAUGUGCUACAAUCUCACAGUAUCGCAUCUAGUGUUUUAAUAAUCGGACCGGUGGUUAAAAGAUAAAACUAUUGAUUUCUUAUUCAAUCGGUUCGACUGCUAGACCAAUAAUAAUUAAAUAAAUAAUUAAAAAUUCCUAAAAAUCUAAAAAUAAAGUUAAAAUAAUUUUUUAAAUUGUCAAUUUUGACCAAUUUCCGAUUCAAUCAGUUCAACCCCUUUGUUUGGACCGUUAUACCAAUCGCUUUUCAGUUCAGUCAAUUUGACCGAAUGAUCUGAUUUUGUUUCAAUAACACCAGUCACAUCAUCAAAUGUUGAUAGAAUCCAAGUUCAAUGACCACUUGAAUUUACUUGCCAAGUUUAGUUAUAAAAUUGGAAAAAAAUAAUACAAUAUUAAAGUGCAUCUAAUUCCCAAGUUGAGGGCCAAAAAUUAUAUUAUCUAUACUAUUAUUUAAGUCCCUAACUGAAUUGGUGUCGCCAAUUCAGUUAGAGAAAUUACGAAAAUAUUUUUUCAUAAUUAGAAUAAGUUAUAUUGUUCGAGGGUAGUUUAAUCUUUUUAUUUUAAAAAAAAUAAUUAAAAAUGAAUAUGAGGGGAUUUGAACCUAAGACAAUCACAAUAAUAAAACUUCAAGUAUAUCACCAUUAAAACUUUAUUUUAAUAUCGUUUAUAUAUUUUUAUUUUAAUAUGCAUAUUUUAUUAUAUUCAUCAAUUGUAUCUAUACUUAUUAUUAUUUAAGCUCCUAACUAAGUUGGUGUCACAAGUUAAUUGAGUAUUUUAGUCUUUUUAUUUUAACAGAAACCAAUAAAAAUAUACUUAUAGUGGGUUUGAACCCAAGAUUGAUUAUAACACCAUGAUAAACAAUUUGUAUGUUGCUGAGGUUGGAUGAUGCAUUAUGGUGUUUUGUGCCUUUUAUGGCCUAUUGAUCGGUUGAGGCUGUUAUUUUAUUGAAAAUGGCUUCUGUCUUUUUUGGUAUGUUGUGAUUAUAGAAUUGAAUUUGAGUCUAUUCAUUGUGUUAUGAUUGAAGGUGUCUCUCGAAGUGGAUGCUUUGGUGAUUUUAAAGUACGGUUAUCGUCAGUCUUAAGAGCUAUAGUGGGGUGGUUUGAAAGUUUUAUGGAAGCCGAUAUGACAUUGAGUUUCCUUUGAUAUCGGUUCCAUUGAGAUUUUUUCUAGCUGUUGGUCUUGAUAAGGUGUUGCUGGUGUUGGCUCUAUUUUAGGUUUCUUAUCUACUGAUAAGUGAUGGUGUCUAAAGCUUUUUCAAGGUUUGAUGGAUCAUUUUCUUACUUGGGGUGAAGUCCAAUGCUUGCUCGUUGAUUUAUGUAAAGGUUUUUUUAGCAAGGGUGAUCACUAUAGUUAGUUGCUUGGUUCUGGAUUAUGGGUGGAGCCGCUAUUUGUCAUAGUUUCUGAUGUGGUGUUUUCCAUGUUGAGAAGGGUUUCGUAGUAGUGUUUGUUUUAAGAUAUAACUUGCUCUCUCACUUCUUGUUUUCUACUUUGGGCUAUGGUUUUCUAUCAUUAGUAAAGUGUGCUCUUCUUGUGGUGAUGUCAUAUUGGUGUAUGUUAAUUGUGCAGUUCAAUAGAAAUCCUUUAUAGAAAUUGAGUUUCUUGUCAUACAUUGCUCAGUGUGUAGUGGGUUGUUCUCGUCAGUCCAAAAUGUAAAUAGUCAUUAGCUUCAUUGUAUCCUUGAGGUUAAUUUUCUUGGAACUCAUUUGCACACCAAAUAUAGGUGGGGGUGAAUAUAACCUUAAAGAUAGUGACUUGAUACACGCCUUGGAGCCUUGUCCUAUUUCUUUUUUUUGUUCGAGUUUUGUUCGUGUGUUCAAGAUUUUCUUCACCAGAGUUUUGUACUAACAAUUUUAAGGUUCUAUAAUUCAUGAUGACUACCAUAACACAUGAAAGUGGAAUACUAAGGGAGUUGGCUUCCAACUUUGUCAAACUUGAUCGGUUUGAUGGUGGCAAUUUUCGAUGAUGGCAAAAAAAGAUGCACUUCUUAUUAUCAACUUUGAAGAUUGCUUAUGUUUUGGAUACUCCUAAACCUAAAGAGAAUGAUAACUAAUCUGUUGCUACAAUUAUAGAAAAACAAAAAUGGGACAAUACUGAUUACAUGUGCAUGGGCCACAUAUUGAAUGGUUUAUUUGAUGGUUUGUUCGACACCUGCCAAAACGAGGUCAUCGCUAAAGAAUUAUGGGAAAAAUUGGAGACAAGAUACAUGACCGAAGAUGUUACAAGUAAGAAAUUUCUUGUCAGUCGUUUCAAUAAUUAUUAAAUGGUUGAUGGUCGUUCUGUUAUGGAACAAUUCCAUGAUAUUGAAAAGAUGCUGAAUCAGUUCAAACAAUAUGAUAUGAAAAUGGAUGAAAUGAUUGUUGUAUCCUCCAAAAUACACAAACUUCCUCCAUCUUGGAAAGACUUUAAAAGAAGUCUAAAACAUAAGAAAGAGGAAAUAUCUCUUGAGGCUUUGGCAAAUCAUCUUCGUAUUGAAGAAGAAUAUCAAAAACAAGAUCAUAACCUAAAUUUUGAAAAUGCCAAAGUGCAUGUUACGGAGGAAGUUCAAACUACUAAACCAUUGAAGAGAAAGUUCAAACAGACUGAUAGAGCACCUAAGUUCAAAAAGGAACAAAAAGGCUCAUGCUAUCAUUGUAGAAAGCUAGGACAUUUCAAGAAUGCAUGUUGAUUUUUAAGGAAGAAAUCAUCUUCUAAUGCUGAUAAUAACGAAAAGUUCGUUGCAAUGAUAUUUGAAAUUAAUAUGGCACAAGAUGAUAAUACAUAGUGGAUUGAUACCGGAGUAACCAAACAUGUGUGAAAGACAAAAGCAUGUUCACAAAGUUCACACAAUGUGAAAAUGACAAUGUCUUGUACAUGGGAAAUUCUUACACCGCAGCAAUCAAAGACAAAGGGUUUGUUGAACUACAAUUCACUUCUAGAAAAGUUUGAACCUUAAAUGAUGUAUAUUAUGUACCAGAAGUUAGGAAGAAUUUAGUGUCUGAAAGUUUGUUGAAUAAGUUUGGUUUCAAACUUGUUUUUGAGGCAGAUAAGUUUAUUUUGUCUAAGGGAGGAAUUUUUAUGGGGAAAGGGUAUAUGUAUGAGUAUGUUCAAACUCAAGAAUAAAAAUACUAUUUCUGCUUAAAUGGUUGAAUCUUUUUAUUUGUGGCAUUAUAGAUUAGGUCAUUUGAAUUAUAGAAAAUUGAAUGACAUGUAUAAGUUAAAUUUAAUUCAUAUUUUUAAUAAUAAUAUUGAAAAAUGUAAUACAUGUAUGUUGACUAAAAUUACAAGAAACCCUUUCCCUAAGGUUAAAAGGAAAACAAAAUUGCUUGAUUCGAUAAAUAAUGAUUUAUGUGACAUGCAUAAUACUCCUACGUUAGGUGGAGAGAAAUAUUUUGUUACUUUUAUUGAUGAUUGUUCUAGAUAUUGUUAUGCAUAUUUAUUGCAUUCAAAAGAUGAAGCGUUUGAUAAAUUUAAAGUUAUAAAUCUGAAGUUGAACUUCAGUGUGAAUCAUUUAUCAAGUGCUUAAGAUCAGAUAGAGGUGGAGAAUACUAUAAUCCAAGUUAUUUUGAAUCCACUAGAAUUGUCCAUCAAGUUUCAUCCCUUUACACCCCACAACAAAAUGGCGUACUUGAGAGGAAAAAUAAAGUCUUAACUAGAAUGGUAAAUUCAAUGUUAUCAUAUUCAAGUCUUGGACAAUGUUUUUGGGGAGAAGCUGUUCUAACAGCUUGUCAUAUAUUGAAUAGAGUUCCUAAUAAGGAAACUAAAAUAACCCCCUAUGAACAAUGGAAGAAAAGGAAACCAAACAUUAAUUAUUUGACGGUUUGCAGUUAUAGAGCUAUUGUCAAAGUUCCAACACCUAAAUGUAAAAAGUUAGGUGAAAGAGGAAUUGAAUGCAUAUUUAUAGGUUAUGCACAUAAUAGCAAGGCAUAUAGGUUCAUGGUAAUUGAACCAAAUGAUUCAGUUUCAAUUAAUACUGUUAUUGAAUCAAGAGAUGCUAUUUUUGAUGAAAAUAGAUUUAAUUUUAUAUCAAGACAAUUACUGUAACAUCCCUUACCUGUGUCCGACGUCGGGACAGGAUACGAGGCAUUACCUGUCUUAAACAUAAGCAACCAUACAAAACCGGGCCAUAAAAUUUCAUUCAAUUUAAAACUAUUUAUACAUAUACAUCAUCAACAACUCUUAUACUAGCAUAAUUAUAUCUAAUUAACAUACCAUACCAUUGAGUAAAACUUAGCCAUUGGACAUCAAGACUUGCAGCACAUACAACCAUUAGGAAUUUAGGCCAUACCCACAACUCAUCAUGUAUCAUGCAAACGCAACUCACAUCACAAGACAUUGGCAUAUAAUUAAUAUAUAUAGGCUUACAACCAAUUAGCCAAUAUAAGUCAAGUUACAUGGCUACACAUAAAAUCAAACCUUUAACCAUUACAAACCAAAACAUUUGGCCAAAACAUAAUAACUCAUACACAAAAUGACUGAGUCCCUAUACAUGCCAUAAACUUAAAAUGUUUGAAUAUGUUGAUAUCGAUCAAUAGCUUGAUAGUGUGAUAGAAUCUUCGACGAUCUCCAACCCGAGCUAGUAUCUGUGACACUAUAGGAAAAAGAAAGAAAGGGGGUAAGCUAUAUAGCUUAGUAAGUUGGUAAGUAAACAAUAAGAAAUCUGUUAACAUGCUUUUACCAAUCCUCACAACAUAUCUCAAGGUAAUACAAUCAAAAUUGCACAUAGUUGCACUAUUUACUCAUGUUUACAUCAAGCUGUCUACUCGAGUGAUAGUCACUAAAUUAUUUAUAUCUUGUGCUACAGAACUUUAAAUUAAGAUCCACUUGAUUUUACCUAAAUUAUUUAUAUCUUGCGCUACAGAACUCCAAAUUAAGAUCCACUUGAUUUUACCAAAACUAGACUCACAUAUCUUCUUACCAUAAAAUUUUCAAAAUUUUUGGUUUAGCCAAUAAUUACAGUUAAUUCUUCAACUUCAUCCCUGUUUUGCUGUCUAACAGUUCUGACCCUUCUUCUCUAAAAAUUAAUUAUCUCUUAGUACGGAAUUUGAAUGAUAUUCCCGUUUGUUUCUAUUGAAAAUAGACUCAUUAAGAAUUUUAAUCAUAUAAAUUAUAACCCAUAAUUGUUUUUAUACAAUGUUUAAUAAUUUUCCAAAAUCAGAAUUGGGGAUUCCGAAAUCAUUCUAACCUUAUCUCACAAAAAUUCAAAUAUCUCAUAAUAUCAUAUUUUUUUGCUUACACCGUUUCUUCUAUGUGAAACUAGACUCAAUAAUAUUCAUUUUAAUGUCUUAUUCAACCUCUAAUGCAAUUCUUACAAUUUUUGGUGAUUUUUCAAAUUUAUACAACAGCUGUUGUCCAAAACUAUUUUAUUGCAAAUUUUACUCUUUCAUGAUUUCUUUGUAUUAACAUUUAUUUAGACACACAUAACACCAAAACAUAUCCAUAACUAGCCAUUCCAAUAGCUAAUCAUUAUCAUAUAUUUACAUGCCAAUCAUUGGCCAAUUUCACCUAUACAUCAACAACAAAGACUUAAACAUAUCAUGUCUCAAUUUAAUUUGGCCUAAAAGCCUCGCACAAUCAUCAAUCAAAUUUACCACAAAUCUAUACCUCAUAAGUAUAGACCUAUAAUCACAAGGUCAUCACAAUAUCAUUCUUACAAGUAUGACUUACUCAUUUACAUUCUUAUCAAAUGUCCAAAAUACAUUGAGUUCAUUACUCAUGAAUUUUUCGUACAUACCUGUAUCCAUUCAAUAUGAUCAUACCUUGUCUUUUCUUUGACAUAAUCUUUGGAUUACCUGUUGAACCACUUGGAAUACUAAGGAUACUCGGGAAAACUCGUACAUAAUGUAUCGUACAAAUGCCAUGUCCCAGACAUGGUCUUACAUGGAAAUCUCAUAUCGAUGCCAAUAUCCCAGCUAUGGUAUUACACGAAGUCUCAUAACGAUGCUAUAUCUCAGAUAUGGUCUUAUACGAAAUCUCAAAUCAAUGCCAGUGCCAUCUCCCAGAUAUGGUCUUAUAUGGGAUCUCGAAUCGAUGUCGAUGUCAUAUCCCAGAUAUGGUCUUAUACGGGAUCUUAAAUCAAUGCCGAUGCCAUAUCCCAGAUAUGGUCUUAUAGAUUUUCUCACUUCGAUGCCAAUGUCUCAAACAUGGUCUUACACGAAAUCACACCUCGGAAGUCCUAAUAUCAUGAAAUCAUCAUCCUAUACAUUUCCUAAGAUUCAUUCGGAGCUUUCGACUUCGUAAUUAAAUCAAUACAUGCACGAAACCAGUCAUCCAAUGCUCAAAUCAAUUCGGCAAUAUAUAUAUACAUAGACAAAUCAAUUCGACAAUGUAUAUAUAUACAUAUAAAUCAAUUCGGCAAUAUAUAAAACAUAUAUAUUUGAAUUCAAAAAUAUUUAUUUACUUAUGAACUUACCUCAUACAGAAACGAACGGAUCGGAUCAACUACUCGUCAACUUUCGAUUUCCCCGAUCUAAAUCCGAUUUCUUUCUUUGUUGAUUUACGUGAAUUCAAAUUUAACUCAUUUAAUCACCUAUUCAUUCAAUUUCAUCCAAAAAUACCUAUUUGAAAAUUUUUGCACUUUAGCCCCUAAAGUUUCACAUUUAUUCAAUUUAGUACCUAUUUGACAAAUAUACAAAAUUUACACAAUUCAAUAUAACCCAAGCUUAGCCGAAUUACUAUAGUGCCCCUAGCAGACCAAAACUUUUAUUUAUUUCACAUUUGAACCACUCAACUGGCAUAUUUCACAAUUUAUCUCCAUUUGACAUUUUUGCCAAAAAUCACUUUACAAAACAUAUUUAUCUAUCAACAAUUAUUCAUUUUCCAUCAUCAACAUUCAAAAACAUCAAUCUAUCAUCAAUGGUAACUCACAAAUUCAUCAAACCAAUUCAAAAAUUAGGGCAUGGGCUAGCUAGAACAUGAAGCAACAAUCUCAAAAACAUAAAAAUUAUCAAAAACGGGCUUAAAAAUCACUUACACACAAGAGAUUUAUUAACCAAAAGUUUCAAGCUCCCAAAGCCUUCCUUAUUGCUAUAAAUUUUGGUUGGGGAAGAUGAAUAAAGAUGGUGGCUUUAAAUUUUUUUAUUUUAUCAUUAAUUACUUAUUUACCAUUUUACCAUUAAAAACAUUAAUAAUUAUACCAAAUGUCACUCCACUAUCAUACACUAACUCAUAAAUAUCCUAUUUACCACUUAAGGACCUUUACUUUAAUGUUCUAUAGCUCUUAGACACCUUUAGCUUAUAGAACACAACUUUUACAUUUUACGCAAUUUAGUCCUUUUGCCAAAUUAAGCAUUCAAACAGUAAAAUUUCUUGACGAAACUUUUACACAUAUAUAAUCACAUGAUGUAAAUAACAAAAAUAAUAUUAAAAUGAAUUUUUGACCUCAGAUUUGUGGUUUCAAAACCAUUGUUCUAAUUUAACUAAAACCGAGUUGUUACAAUUACAGCCACAACAAUUGAUUCAUUCUUCAAAUGAGAAAAAGAUCCCAUUGGAACAAAUUGAUAAUGAUGAUGAAUAUUCUCAAGAAUUAAGAAGAAGUAAGAGGAUUAAAAGGUCAAAGAUUUUUGGACCAGAUUUCAUUAUGUUUCUUGUAGAAGGUAAAGGUGAAUGUAUAUGCAAUAAGAUACCUUAUUUUUAUAAUACGAAAUCUGAUCCUAUUAUAUUUGAAGAGGCAAUGAAAUCUCAAGACUCUACUUUUUGGAAGGAAGCAAUAAAUGAUGAGAUGGAUUCAGUAAUGGGAAAUCAAACAUGGAUCUUAGUUGAUCUUCCACCAGGUUCCAAACUAAUAGGUUGUAAAUGGAUCUUCAAAAAGAAAAUGAAGGUCGAUGGAACCAUUGAUAAAUUUAAAGCAAGGUUGGUAGCCAAAGGUUUUACACAAAAACAAGGUAUUGAUUACAUUGAUACCUAUGCUCCAGUAGAAAGAAUUGCUACAAUUAUCACUUACCUUUAUAUAUUAAACAAAGUCCGUUAGGACCUUAUCUUACCCAUUAUCAUGUGUGGUCAUAAAUGUACAAAUAGGGAAAAUUUAUUAAUUCAAGUUUAUUGAACUACUCAGUUUUUAAAUUUGAAAAAUUAGUUUAUUUAUAAUAUAAUUUUAGAUAGGGUUUAAGUAUUUUUGGGUUAAAAUUUUUUCUGACUAAUAAAAUAUCGAUUUCUUAAUUUCAAAAUGCACGUUAAAUUCUCUUAUUUGGAGUUCAAGAACUCAAAUUAUGGAUUCCUCGAGAUUAGUCACUUGACCUUUCAAAGUCGACAGCAUAUCCCUCGAUCUACUAUCUUUUCUGCCCCUCUCAUGGGUCUCUCUGGGUUCAAUCUGCUCUUUUACUCCUUUUUUCAUCUCAACUAGUAGCUUUAAAACUUAGUCCAAUACCAAUUGUCACAGAACAAAAAUUUGCAAAACACACAUACACAUACACAUACACAUUAAUACAUUUCCCAAUUACCUAAACUGAACACACACAUACACAUUUAAAUCCAUAUCAUAGCGGAGUCCUCAAUACAGUUACCAAGGCUUAACUGAGGGUCGAAACAUACAGAAACACAAAACGAGCCAAAUUUUAACACAAAACAAAAAUUUCCAAAACAGAGCCACACGGCCGUGUGGGAGUGACUAGGUCGUGUGGAGGUCUACUAGGCCAUGUGGUGGUUUACACGCCCAUGUGCAAGCUACACAAGCUCGUAUGGAGGAGACACAUCAGUGUGACCGAGUUACAUGGCCGUGUUGAUAAUCCGCGUAACUCAUUGUCCAAAAGUGUCAAAAUAAGGAGCAUAGUAGACACGCUUGUGUGGGAAUCUCACAUACCCGUGUGGCUAAGGGACACGACCGUGUGUCGAAGGCACAUGUCCAUGUGAAAAAUGAAAAAAUCCCCAAAUAGCCACCACACGACCGUGUGGCACUAAAAAACAUCCAAAAUCCCUAAUUCCCAAUGUUACAUGACUGUGUGGACUACCCAUGUGCUACACACACCUGUGUGCUGCACACACUCGUGUGCCCACCAGUAUGGUCAUGAAACCACAUUGAAACAAGUUGAAAUCGCAAUUUUGCAAUAGCAAAAUGAACCCUAAUCACAAACCAUUCAAGACACAUAAGAAUUUUGUAGAUUUUCCCAAAAUCCAGCAGCAAUUCAUUACUGAAUUCACAUAAUUUUAGAAACACACUAGAAACUGCUGAAUUCCAUAAAAUCCAACAGUAAUUCAAUACUGAAAUUAAACAGUUUCAAAACACACACCUGAAUGAUGUUUUAGAGCACCAAGAAUCGACCACUUGGCCUUUACUCUAACAACCUGAAACUCAGUUCCGCAAACAUACUAAAGCUACAAAAAUUUCCGACCUAAACCUUAUAUCAAAUUACCAAGAAUUAAUCGCAUAAACCUAAAUACAAAAUGAUCCCUACACUCACCCGAUUCGACGUCUGAUCAAACGAAGAACAAAAGCACCACUAGUAUUUGAAGGCAGUGGUUUACAAAAGUAUUGAAACCCAAUAAAAAAAGAAAGAAAAUCAAAAUCUAUAAUUUUUAUUUACUGGAAGAAGGAGAAAGACUGAUGUGAAGAGAAAGUGGAAAACGUGAGAAAUUUUUGGGAUUUUCUUCUAUUUUUUUCAAAUAAAAAAUCUAAAUAAAAAUAAGUUAACACAAAAAGAAAAAAAUUUAAAAUAAAACUUCCUUUAUUCUCACAUCGGGAUUCAAACACUAGACCAAGGCAAACUAGUAACAUACUCUACCACCAAAUUAGUAAACUCAUUUUGAUGUUAAAACGCGAAAAUAAACCCAAUUGUUCAACCUACUUGCUGACCUUCACUACAAACCUCAAAACUUCUAACCCCAAAUUCCAAGAUGUUACAAAACAAGGUUAAAAUAUGUUACUUUUAGCACUUAUCAUAAAUUGUUAAUCUAUGUGCUUGCUUGAGGGAGACGGUUGUACGGUCAAAAUUUUGAUAAUGCUUAUUUUUUUAUUGAACUGAGGACUGUGAAAGUUGAAUUGGCUUGGGUGAUUGUGAUAUGUUUAGAUGAUGAAUGCAAGAAAUGGCUUGGAUGAUUGUGAUAUGUUUAGAUGAUGAAUGCAUGAAAUGUUUAAGGGCAAGUAUUGAUUAAGGGGGGUGAUAAUGUUCUUAAUAGAUAUUUUUUAAUGAUUUAUUCUGAUUAAUUUUGGACAUGGAUGCUACUACUUUGGUACUUUGUUGACUAUUUUCUAUAUAAAUAUAGCACAUGUUCGAAGUGUUAGAGUACAAUAUAAAAAAGUAAAUUUAUAGUUGGAUUGAGAAGUUGACAUAUAAGACAUUUAAAAUUUAGGAUUAUUUUAUUUUUUAUUUUUAUUUUUAUGGAAAAAUGUUUCUCUUUAAGAUAUUAAUGAGGAUUAAAUUUUAUCUUAGGGAAUGAGUAAAGGCUUCUUAUAUUCUUAAGCUUGUCUAUUAUUAUUAUUAUUAUUAUUAUAUAGUAAGGCGUGAAGAGAGGGGGCACACGGUACCCACCAAAUUUUUUUUUUUUUGCUUCAUUCAAACUAAUCUGUUGUAAAUACAACAAGAACAACACUUAAAGAAACAAGUUACAAAAUACCACAAUGAAACAUUUCCUACAAUCGAAAACUAAUAUUCAACAUCAAAGCUAAUACUCACUAACAAGCUUUGUAACAGCCUAAUUUUUAGUAGUGUCAGAAUAGUGAUUUGAGAUCACUAAAAUUGAUGAAAAAGUUAGAAAAAAAAAUUAUUAAUUAAUAAUUAUAAGUUAAGCGUGAUUUUAGAAAUAUUUUUUAAAUCAGUGAAUUUUGUGAUUUAAAAGAAAUUAUUAGGUAAAUUGGGUCGAAAACGAGAUAUCGAGACCUCGAUAUUAUAAACUGAGCCGUAAAUAUUUAUAAAAAUAUUUACGGAGUGUCAACAGGAUAAUAUUAAAGUUUCGUUAAGAAAUUUUAACGCUUUGAUAGUUAAUUAUGAAAAAGGACUAAAUUGAAGUAAGGAUAAAAGUUUAAUUAUAGAUUAAAGAAAAGUUAAAGGACCAAAUAGGCAAUUAUGCCUUUUUUCUAAAGUUGAGGCGGCAUAACAAAAGAAAAAUCUAAGAUAUUUUUAAUUUAAAAUAUAUAUUAUAUUAUACAUGCGUAAGUAAUAAUUAUGUUUUUAUAUUAUAUUAUUAUUAAUAUAUUAUAUUAUAUUAUAUUAUUAUAUUAUUAUAUUAUUAUAUUAUUAUAUAUAUGACAAAGAAAGAAAGAAAAGAAACAGAGAGCAAAACAAAACAGAGAAGGGAGAAAGAAAGAAACAGAGAGCAAAACGAAACAGAGAAGGAAGGAAGGAAAGAGAGAAAAGAAAAGAAAAGAAAAAAGGAAAUUUGAGGUUUUAAGGUUCAAAGUAAUUUGGUAAGUCAAUUUAAUCCCCUUUUCUCUUAAUUUUGAUAUUUUUUUUGAAAUCCUAGAAUAAAAUACUACUUGAUUUAAGUUGAAAUUUUGGAAGUUAGUAGAUUAUUAAGCAUGGUUCAUGUUGAAUAAAUUGUUAAAUUAGGGAUGUAUUUGAUAGAAAUUUUGAUUGGAAUUGAAUAAAGGAUUGAAUUGUAAACUAAACUAUAAGUUUUGAAUUUUAGGGAUUAAUUUGAAAUAAAUUCGAAAUUAUGAAAACAUGAUAAAAAUUAAAUAGUUAAAUAUGAGUUUAGCAAGAAAUUGGGUAGAAUAAGGGUAUGAAUUGAGAAAGAAAAAUAUAUAGGUUUAGUUAGGGGUUAAAUUGAUUUAAUUUCAAGUUAGAAGUUAGUAAAGAAUGUAAUUGUAAAAUAAAAUAUAAGUUUUGAAUCGAUAGGGAUUAAAUUGAAAGAAUCCCAAAAUUAGGGAUUUAUGGGGAAAUUGAAGAAUUAAACUGAGUUUAUAGUAAGAAUUAAGAGAGAAUAUAGAGUUAGAAUGCAAAAAUAAAAUUAGUAUUGAUAAGGGAUUAAAUUAGAAUUUGAUGUUGCCAUAGAAGAGAAAAAUGUUCAGAAUGUUAUAAAACAUAAGAAUAAGAGAUGAAGUUUAAUUUCCGGGCCUUGGGGCAAAAAUGUAAUUAUGUAAAAGUUUAGGGGCAAAAUUGUAAUUUUGAAAAAGUUAGAGUCGAGGGCUAUUUUGAUGAAUGUGAUUAUUAAAUAAGUUAAAUUUACUAUUUUAGAUCAAGAAGUACGAAACUCGAGGUUAGACAAAGGGAAGAAUAAAGUUGAAGACUAAGUUGGUGAAUUUGGCUAUAAUUGGUACCGAGGUAAGUUUACGGUAAAUAAAUGCAAUAUUUCAAUAUUUAUUAUUAAUGCUGUUAAUUUCCAGCAAUUAUGAAUUUAUUUUAUGAAUUUAUUUGAUGAUGAUCCAAGCAUGAAAUGAUAGAGAAUUAAAAUUUAAAAGUCCCGUUGAUACAUAAGGAUGGUACUGGAUACGAAUGUCAUGACAUUUGGGUAAAGAGAUCCCAUGUAAGACCAUGUCUGGGACAUGGCAUUGGCAUCCUUAAGAUCAUGAGAGGUCCCCUGUAAGACCAUGUCUGGGACAUGGCAUGGGCACCGAGACGAGAGGUCCCAUGUAAGACCAUGUCUGGGACAUGGCGUUGGCACCGAGAUGAGAGGUCCCCUAUAAGACCAUGUCUGGGACAUGGCAUGGGCACCAUCACGAGAACAUCCCAUGUAAGACCAUGUCUGGGACAUGGCUUUGGCAUGUUAUUAUCAGAAGAGACCCGAGUAUCCUUAUUAUUCCCAUGUAGUUCAACGGGCUUGUAAACGAAUCAUGUUCAUGAAAGUUCAGUUUAAAGCAUAAAUGGCAAGCUCAGGUAAGUUGUAAGACUUAAGAACUUAUUAUACUAUCAAUUGAUGUUCAACGAUGCAGCAAGGAUUGAGUAAGUUAUGCACACAAAUAUUCUAAGUAAACAAGUAAGAGAACUAGUAUGAGAUUAACUAAAGAGUAAACUAGAGAUAUAGACAUUGAGUUUAAUUAUUUAAGUUAAAUAUUGUUAUUUAUUUGCUAGUAAACUUACUAAGCUUUAUGCUUACUUAUUUUAUUUCUCUUUCUCUUAUAGUAUUGCAAAGCUACUUCAAGGAUCCUAAAGAAGUCGGAGAUCGUCCACACUAUCAACUACAACUGCUCGGUAUUUUAUAUCGAAACACGUUUAAGUUAUGGCAUGUAUAGGGAUUUAGUUAUUUUGUAUGUUUGUAGUGAUGAUUUUGCUAAUGAGUGAUGUGUAAGUAUUUGAUGAUGUAUGGUUAUUAAAAUGAUUAAGGAUGAAGGUGUUUGUUGUUAUGAAAGAUUAGGUGAUAAAUUAUGCAUGGAAAUCAUGAAAGGAUAAAAUUUUGCAAAGAAAUAGAAUUCAGGCAGCACAGUGACGUGAAUUUGAAAAAUCACCCAAGAUAGUAUAAAAUGAAUUAGAGGGUGAAUGAUAUGUGGAAUUAAAGCUUGUUGAGUCUAUUUUCAUGGAAAAAUAACGGUGUAGAAAAAAAGGAAUUUAUAUUUUAAGAUAUGUGAAUUUUAGUAAGAUAGGGUCAGAACUGUUUUUUGGAGUCCCCUGUUCUAAGUUUAGAAAAUAAUUACAAAUUGUACAAAAAUGGUUAUGAGUUGAAAUUUACAUGCUUAGAUUCCUUAAUGAGUCUAUUUUCUAUAGAAACAAGUAAGAACUUCAUAUGAAAAUCCUAUAGUGAGAAAACUUAUUUUUAGUGACUAAAGGUCAGGGCAGUCUGGUGGUGACACAGGGGAGACUUUAACUAAUAAACUGUACUAAUUUGCUGAACCAAAAAUUAUAAAAAUUUUAUGGUGAGUAGAUAUAUGAGUCUAGUUUCAGGGUAAAUUUACAGGAUUAAAUUUCGAGUUCUUUAGCUCAAGUUAUAAAUAAUUUAGUAACUGCUGCGCGAUUAGAUAGAUUUGCUCCGCAUUGGUAAGAUAAGCUAAGUAAUGCCUCGUGCUCGACUCCGGAAACGAUCUCGGGUAAGGGGUGUUACAAGCUUUGAACAUGUCACCACGAUUAAUACCUGCUAUUGCCAAGGUUGAAGCCAUUUCAUUACGUUUUUGAUCUGCCAUCGAGAAUACUACACUACCAACCUGCUCAAUUUUCCUCUCAAUAACUGAAAAUGUUGUUUGUAACAACCACGGUCUCAUAUCCUUGUUCAGACACCAAUUGUACACCAUUUUUGAACAAAUUUCUACAAUAAGAGAGCUAUUAAUCUUCCAUCCCAUGGAUAAGAACAAAUCCAAUGCUAUAAACACUACCCCUACCUCUGUUGAAUUUGUGUCAUUAGCUACAAUAGGACCCGAAAAUAAAGCUCUUGCAACACCCUCUAUAUCUCUUAGUACUCCACCACAACCUGUAACUUCCUCAUUUUCUAUCCCACAUACAUUGAAACUUGGAUAGCCUUGUGGAGGAGGGCGUCAUAUCGACGAAGAGGAUUUGGUUUAAUUGUAUCAAAUUUGCACUUGUUCGGACAAAUCCACCAAGAGCUCUCUUGCACCAUUUACUCAUCAUAUAUAUACAAACCUUAUCCACAACUUUGCCCUCAUCUUGGAUUGAAAUAUCAAAGCUUCCAUAGUCGUCACCUUUCUUUCGAAGACAAUUUCAUUUCUUGCUAUCCACACUGACUAGCAAGCUAUCGAAAUCGAUAACAACCAUAAACUUUUUCGGGCUCCUAACAGUUUCACGUUAUAACACAAAGAAUAAAAAUCAGCAAAUCCUUCUAUCGAAUUCCAUUCAACCUCCCACCAUUUGAAAAAUUUAUACCAGAACCUUUCAAUAUAUUUCCAUUUGAAGAAUAGAUAAUAUGCUCUCUCUGGUACUCUUUCACACUAUGGACAUUCGAUCGAAAUGUGUUGAAGCUACACCACUCUUUUAACGAGAAAUUCCUUUGUAGGAAUUCUAUCAAUAGCAAGCAUCCAUAGAAAACUUCACACUCUUGGUGGUGAAACCAUUGUUGCUCGAGUAAUCUGCUACCAUACCUUUCUUUCGUCUUGCUAAGCGGAACACUCUAGGAAAUUCCAUUUUUAGUGGUUGACUACAGGACCAAAUAUCCUCCCAAAACACCGCCAUCCUUUCAUUCCCAACCAUCCAUCUAAAAGCUUCGUUCCCCACCCAUUUAGAACCAUUAGCGUCUUUAGAAUUUUCUACAAUACCUCUCCAUACAAUCGACAUAACUUUUAGAUUAGUCGUCCUAAAGUGCCAUUGUUGCGGGUGCGAACCAUACUUUGCUAGGAUGAGUUUUUGCCACAAUGCAUCUUUUUCAACCGCGAAUCUCCAACUCCAUUUUUCUAAGAAAGCUCUAUUUUUAAUUAUGAGAUUCACCACUCCCGCUCCUCCCUUCUCCUUUGGCUUACAUAUAUGUUUCCUGCUUGCCUUCGCCAUCUUCCUUUUACCAUUUAUACUCCCCCCCAAAGAAAAUUUCUCCUUAUCUUGUCGGUCCUUUUAAUAACUGUCACUGGAGCUUGGAAUAUACACAUGAAAUAAAUCAACAAGGUAGAUAAAACAACAUUAAUCAACACAAUCCUUGCAGCCCACGAGAGCAUAUGGCAUUUCCAUCCCGAUAAUUUCUUCCUGAAUCUCUCUACAAUUGCAUCCCAAGUGGAUACUCUCCUCAGAUUUGCUCCCAAUGGAAUCCCUAGAUAAUUAAAAGGCAAAAAUCUUAUCUUACACUAACAUAUUGUAGCCAUUUGAUAUAAGAGUUCUUCAUUCUCAUCAAAUCCUACUAAACAUGAUUUUUUGAAAUUGAUACUAAGACUUGAAAAGAUCUUAAAACACCGUAAAAUAUACUUAUCAUUUCUCACGUCUUCUUCAUCUCCUCUCAAGAAUAGUAUAGUAUCGUCCACGAAUUGUAAAUGAGAAAAAAUCUGCACGGGAAUAACAUCUUGAAUGCCCUAAAUUAGCCCCAUCUCCACUACUUUAUCCUUCGACAAAUAUAGCACUUUCGUCACUAGGAUAAAUAAAAAUAAAGAUAACAGAUCUCCUUAACGGAGACCUCGGCGGAAUCUAAAUUAAUUUGUGGUUGACUCGUUGAUAAUUAUUGCUACUCUCACCAUAGAUACACACUCCAUAAUCCAUCCUAUCCAUUUCUGGCCAAAUCUCAUCUUGAGUAAAACUAACUCAAAAAAAUCCCAACAAACACAAUAAUAUGUUUUAGAAAAAUCCAGUUUAAAAAUCAGAUUGCCCCCAUACCAUUUUUCUUUUUAAUCGAAUGGAUAAUUUCAUUUAGAAUUAAAAUUUCAUCGAAUAUUUAUCUACCUCUGAUAAAUGCACAUUGUGUUUCUCUCAUUACCUCUCCAACAACCUCCCUAAUUCUUCGAGAUAACACCUUUGCCACUAUCUUGUACAACGAGCUCUCCAAAAAAAUUGGUCUAAAUUCUGAUAUUUUAUUUGGAUUUUUGGUCUUGGAUAUGAGUGUAAUAAAUGAAGAAUUGAUGCUCCUCUCAAGCUUUCUAGAUCUAAAAAAGUCUAGUAUCAUUCUAAAAAGUUCAUUUUUUACAACAUCCCAACAUUUUCUAAAAAAAGCACAUAUUUAAGCCAUCCGACCCAGAUGCUUUCGACUCAUCGCAACUCCACACUGCCUUUUUUAUCUCCUCCAACGAAAAUGGCAACUCCAGUUUCAAAGCAACCUUAUCAUUUAACUAUUGUUUUGAUCUUAUUUUAGUGUUUUUUAUUUCAAUUAAAUAUUCUCCUUCAACGAUUUUCUUUUCUUGUUUUUUAAUUUAUGAGAAGUUAAAUUUAACCUAGUUUUAGAUUGAUAAUUGAUCCAAUAUUUGAACGGUGAAAUUUCAAAAUCGUGUUUAUAUUCUCCAUUUCGGUAUUUGUUAAUUCUCCAAUUUAAAAGAUAAACUCAAUUACUUCUCAAUGUUAUUUUAGCAUCAAAAUCAAGAAGAGUCCCUUGGUUUAGUGUUGAAGGACAUACAGUUAGAGAAUCAAUGUGAUUGUAAUUGUUGUAUUAGAUCCAUUGAAGAACAAAUUGACAUGAGUGGUUGGAUCCAUCAAGGAAGUUAAUAAUUAAUUUUAAAUGACUCAUACAAUUGAGGUCGUUGAUUUAAGCCAGGUUCUUCUAGUUCGUAAGGCUACUAAUGAAUUAAAUCACGAAUGCUGCUUUCAAGGUUAUUCACUUUAUAAGGCUUAGUCGUCGAGCUGUUCCAGCAAUUAAUUUACCACUAUGAAAGAAUUAGGUGGUUUGAGCUUGUUUCUUGGUAUCUACAAUUGACUUAUUAAUGAAGGAAAAAAUUCAUUCUUUGUGAUUAGUUUGAAGACAGAGUCAAAAUCGAGCUUCAAGCUUGAAGCUAGAGCUUUUGUUUUAUCGGUUUAUUCAAUUUUAAUUUUGUUUUACUUAUUUCUACUUCAUUUUCAUUAUUAAUUUAUAUUUUUUGUUUACUCGUUUUUCAGAUUUAAUUCCCUUUUGUUUUUCGUACAAGUUGGCACAAGUCAUGGGCAUAAAAACUGCUUGGGACAUGUUCUAGUUAUAAAGAAAUAUAGAUUUAGAUAGAUUAACCUUUGUGGGAUCGACCCUAUUCUAUAUACUAAAAUUUAAUUUUGGUUUCAAGCGUAGGAAUUUUUUUUAGUAGAUUCAAAUCCCGUCACGGAAAACAGAUCUACAUCUAUAUUGCUUUGCCCAAAGUUUAAUCCGCUAACAAGCCUUAGUAUAACCACUAGUUUAAGAAAAAUCAAUCUGAGAUUAAUCAAAUAAUAAACACAAGAUUGGAUGCACAAAAUCCUCAAAAAUAUGCAAGUAAGUAAUCAAAAUAUUUUUUUUUUCAAACAUGCUGUUGAGAUCACAUGUUUAAGAUUACUGCCAUUUAGUUUUCUGUUGCUAAGUUUGAAUAAUUCUCCUUUACUUUAGGAGCUUAGUUUUACGAUUUGUUUGGUAUAUUGUUACCAGAUUCUUAGCAGAUUUUUAGAACCUUUUUUUUCUAUUUUUAGUCUUGAAUUUUUUAUUUAAAUCGUUGAGGUGCAAAUCAAUUACCAUUCCAGUCUUCAUUUACUUUCUAUCUUAAAACUUCCUUUUCUCUUCUUUCUAGUUCAAAUCUCUCAAUCAAUCAUCAAAGUUCGAGUUCUAAUCACCAACAAAUUAGUAUCGGAGCUAUUUUCUUAAGGGAUAUAUGAGGUUAUUUGCGUGUUAAGAUGGAAGGAGAGUCUAGUUUUUCAGUUGCUGCACUACCAGUCUUCAAUGGAGACAAUUUCCAGAUGUAGGCAGUUCGUAAGGAGACUUGCUUGGAGGCUUUGGAUCUUUGGGAAGCUGUAGAAGCGGAUUACGAGGUCCCACCACUUCCAGCAAAUCCUACUGUGGCACAGAUUAAAGCAUAAAAGGAAAAGAAGACAAGGAAAUCAAAGGCAAAAGCUUGCUUAUUUGCAGUUGAGUCUCAAAUGAUUUUCACACGAAUAAUGUCUCUGAAAUCAGCAAAGGAAAUCUGGGAUUACUUAAAGGCUGAGUAUGCAAGAGAUGAGAGGAUUUGUGGAAUGAAAGUCCUAAAUCUAAUCAGGGAUUUUGAGUUGCAGAAGAUGAAGGAGUCUGAGUCAGUGAAAGAAUAUUCUGACAGACUUCUCAGCAUUGCCAACAAGGUGAGAUUGCUUGGUUCUGAGUUGAAUGACUCUAGAAUCGUAGAAAAGCUGCUGGUCACUGUUCCAGAGAAGCUUGAAGCCACCAUUACUACUCUGGAGAACACCAAGGACCUGUCAAAGAUCUCUCUUGCAGAGCUCUUGAAUGCUUUACAAGCACAAAGGCAAAGAAGAUCCAUGAGGCAAGAGGGAGUGAUAGAAGGUGCCUUACUUGUCAAGCAUCAAGACAACAACAGGUAUAAAAAGAAGAAAAAUUUUAGGAACCAGUCGACGAGUAGAGAAAAUUCAUCAGGCAAUUAUCAGAAGAGCAAAAGAGGAGGUGUCAAGAAAUCCUACCCACCUUAUCACCAUUGUGAGAAGAAAGGUCAUUUACCAUUCAAAUGUUGGAAAAGACCUGACGUUAAAUGCUCCAAAUGCAAUCAACUUGGACAUAAAACAGUGGUUUGCAAGGUCAAAGGCCAGGUGCAAGAAGUAGAUGCACAGGUAGCUGAUCAAGAAGAAGAAGAUCGAUUGUUUGUGGUUACUUGUUUCUCAGGCAGAGAAUCAAGUGAGAGAUGGUUGAUUGAUAGUGGGUGCACAAAUCACAUGACGUAUGACAAGGAGCUCUUCGAGGAAUUGAGAAACACUGAAGUCAAAAUAGUGAGGAUUGAAAAUGAUGAGUACUUGGAAGUCAAGGGAAAAGGCGCAGUAGCUAUUACAAGCUAUAAAGGUACAAAAUUCAUUUCAGAUGUUUUGUUUGCACCUAAAUUGAUCAAAAUCUCCUCAGUGUUGGUCAGUUACUGGAUAAAGGCUAUAAAGUGCUAUUUGAGAAUAAGCAAUGCUUGAUCAGAGAUGCUAAUGGCAGAGACUUGUUUAAUGUCAAAAUGAAGGGAAAAUUUUUUUAUCUUAAUCCAAUGGAAAAGGAGCAAAUGGCUUUUAAAUCCAGAGUUAGUGCCACUGAGACUUGGCACAAGAGACUUGGGCACUUUCACCAUCGAGGAUUGCUUCAAAUGCAGUCAAAGAAGCUGGUAGAAGAACUUAUAGACAUUGAUGAUGAUCUACCUCAUUGUCGAUCUUGCAAAUUUGGGAAACAACAUAGACAACCCUUUCCUAAACAAGCCUGGAGAGCCUCGAAUAGCUUGUUCAUACCGAUCUUUGUGGUCUUCAGAGAAUGCCAUCGUUAAACGGUAACCUCUAUUACAUAGCCUUUAUUGAUGAACAAGAAUGUGUUGGAUUUUCUUAUUGAAAUAAAAAUCAGAAGUUGCUGGUGUGUUCUGGAAAUUCAAAACCAAAGUUGAGAAUGAAAGUGGAUGCAUGAUUUAGAUUUUAAGAUCUGAUAAUGGCAAGGGGUAUGCUUCAGAAACUUUUAAUAGGUUUUGUGAAGAGGCUAGAAUUGAGCAUCAGUUGACGGUGCCAUACACUCCAUAACAAAAUAGAGUCAGUGAAAGGAGGAACAGAUUCAUAAUGAAGAUGACUCGGUGUAUGCUUUAUAAGAAGAAUCUUCCAAAAGGCUUUUAGGAAGAAGCUGCAAACACUGCUGUGUUCUUGCAAAAUCAGAUUUCAACAAAAGCUGUGAAGGAUUAGAUGCCAUUUGAAGCUUGGUAGGGUUACAAACCUUAUUUAAAGUUCCUUAGAGUGUUUGGUUGCCUGUGUUUCACUUACAUUCCACAGGUCAAGCGUGAUAAGCUUGACAAAAAGGCAGAAGCUGGCAUUUUUGUUGGGUAUAGCACUGUAUCUAAAUCUUACAGAGUAUUUCAACCACACACUGGACAUGUUAUUGUGAGCAGAGAUGUUUAUUUUGUUGAAAAUGAGCAAUGGAAUUGGGAAGACUCGACCAAGACGAACCAAGCUUCUAGUGCACCAGAUCAUUUUACCAUUGGCAGCACAUUAGAGGAGCUUGAAGAUGAAGGGCAAGAUGUUUUGGCUGAUGAUACACCUGUCAGAGGUACAAGGCUGCUUUCCGACAUUUACCAAAGAUGUAACGUAGCUAUUUGUGAGCCUGCAGGGUAUCAUGAUGCAAAAAACAGUCAACAUUGGAUGGUUGCAAUGAAGAGGAGCUUUCGAUGAUUGAGAAAAACAAAACUUGGGAGCUGGUUGAUCAACCUUUGGACAAAAAGAUAAUUGGAGUAAGAUGGGUGUUCAGAACGAAACUAAAUCCCAAUGGUUCAGUUAACAAAUUCAAAGCAAGACUUGUUGUGAAGGGAUAUGCACAAGUCUUUGGAGUCGAUUAUUCAGAAACAUUUGCACCUGUUGCCAGGCUUGACACUGUAAGGUUACUGCUUGCUCUUGCUGGACAAAAGAACUGGAAAGUUUUUCAGUUAGAUGUUAAAUCUGCAUUCCUAAAUGGAGUCUUGCAAGAAGAAAUCUUUGUCGAGCAACCUGAAGGUUUUGUAAACAGAGGCAAUGAAGACAAAGUUUACUUGCUGAAGAGGCUCUGUAUGGCCUAAAACAGGCUCCACGAGCAUGGUAUAGCAGAAUUGAUGAUCAUUUGGUGGGCAUUGGCUUUCAGAAAAGUCAAUCUGAGCUCACACUAUAUGUAAAGCAUGAAGGUACAAACACUUUAGUCAUUUCUCUUUAUGUAGAUGACUUAUUGAUUACAGGCAGCAAUCUCGAUCAAGUUAAUCAGUUCAAAUUGGAAAUGAAAAAGGUCUUCGAAAUGACAGAUCUUGGUCUGAUGUCUUAUUUCCUUGACAUUGAGAUCAAACAAUGCCAAGAUGAAGUGUUCAUCUGUCAAAGAAACUAUGCAAAGGAGAUACUUAAAAAAUUUCUUAUGGAAUAUUGAAAAGCAAUGAGCACUCCUAUGAAUAAAAAAGAGAAGCUAAUCAAAGAUGAUGGUUCUGCCAAAGUCAUUGAAGCUGAGUUUAGGAGUUUGGUAGGUUGUCUAAUGUACUUAACAGCAACCAGACCCGACAUCUUGAAUGUUGUAAGUAUUCUCUCUAGAUUCAUGCAUUGUCCUAAUGAGACUCACAUGAGAGCUGCAAAAAGAGUUAUCAGAUACAUCAAGGGGACCUGGAGUUAUGGAGUGAAGUUUUUAAAGCACAGGGAAUUAAAGUUAAUUGGUUUCUCUGACAAUGAUUAGGGUGGCUCAACUGAUGAUAUGAAGAGUAACUCUGGUUAUUGUUUUUGCCUUGGAUCAGGCAUGUUCUCUUGGAGCUUGAAGAAGCAAGAAAUUGUAGCUCAAUCCACUGCUGAGGCAGAAUUUGUGGCUGCAACAGCAACAGUUAACCAAACUCUCUGGUUAAGGAAGAUUCUUGUUGAUCUAAACAUGGAGCAGAAGCAAAGCACAAAGAUUCUAGUUGAUAACCAAGCUGCCAUUGCAAUCUCUAACAAUCCAGUCUUUCAUGGGAAGACUAAGCAUUUCAACAUCAAGUUAUUUUUUGUUCGAGAAGUUCAAAAGAGUGGUGAUGUGUCUCUCUGUUACUGCAAAUCUGAAGAUCAAAUUGCAGAUAUCUUCACCAAACCAUUGCCACUUAGCAAGUUUGAAAGCUUCAGGAAGAAACUUGGAGUUUGCAGCAUCUAAAUAAAGAAAGUGUUGAGAUCACAUGUUUAAAAUUGCUGCCAUUUAAUUUUUUGUUGCUAAGUUUGAAUAAUUCUCCUUUACUUUAGGAGCUUAGUUUUACGAUUUGUUUGGUUUAUUGUUACCAGAUUCUUAGCAGACUUUUAGAACCUUUUUUUUUUCUAUUUUUAGUCUUCAACUUUUGUAUUUAAGUCAUUGAGGAGCAAAUCCAUUAUUAUUCCAGUCUUCAAUUACUUUCUAUCUUAAAACUUCCUUUCUCUUCUUUUUGCUUCAAAUCUCUCGAUCAAUCAUCAAAGUUCGAGUUCUAAUCACCAACAUAUGCUAACAAAAAAGAGAAGUUAUGUGAUCUGUACGUGUCAAAUUCAGUUGUCAUUUCUUGAGUCACUGUUCCCAAAACUUGCCUCGACAUAUUCUUCUUUAUUGAUUGUGUGUUUUACCAUCUUGGAAAUAAGUAGCUACUUGCAUUUCAUUAUGUAUGAAGGUGGGCAUACUAUAGGAUAGGGAAGGGGUUGCAAAUGCUAGAACCUUAUACAUAUUAAAUGUCACCUUUUAAAACUAAAAUACAUGAACCAUGUUAAACCUUUAUUUCUUAACAGCUAUGUACUUCAAGCAUUACUAUGUAUCGGCUCAAGUAUUACCUGAAUUCCAUGUUGUGGUAGAAGGGUGAGAAUAGGUAUUGGAGAGUGGACAUAGGCAGGGGAGAGGGUAAUGGUGUAACGUUGUAGAAUCAUGGAGAGAGCAACCUUUGUUUCUAUUGAUGCAAAUGUCAUACCAACACAAGAUCGAGGUCCCAAUCCGAAGGGAAUAAAUGCAGCCGCAGUGUAAUUGGUAGCUUUGGCAAUCCCUUCAGCGAAUCUCUCGGGUUUAAAAUGAUGCACAUCAUCUCCCCACAAUUGAGGGUCACGGUGAAGUCCAAUAUUUAGAGGCAGAAUAUCUAAUUUAGCAGGCAAGACUAACUUUCCCAAUUGUACUUCUCUUGCAACUGUUCUUGCCAAGCCAUUUGGCGGACCAUACAUUCUUAGAGUUUCAUUGAUGAUCAUGGUCAUCUGUUUAGGAAAUAGACAAAUAUGUUAGAUUGCAUAAUGUUGAUGGCUAUUUGAAUUCCCAGUUAGAUAGUUUUCUUACUAUUUUGAGUUUCGCAAUGCCUUCGAGAUGUGGAUUUUGGUUACCAAAUAUGUCAAUCACCUCUCUUCUCGCUUUUUCUUGCCAAUCUCCAUGGAUUGCCAAAUGCAAGACUAUCCAUGCAAGUAAGGAAUUAACAGUUUCUUGUCCAGCAAAAUAGAAUGUUUUGCAUUCAGCUACCACGUCUUCCAAUGAAAUCCUGUUUUUCGCAUCCGAAUCAUGAUAGGCAUUUAGAAGUAAUCCAAGAAAAUCACUGCCGAAGCUAUUGACUUCUCCAUUCACAGCUUUGUCUUCUCUUUUCUUAACAAUCUUCAUCAGACGAUCUUUUAUUUCUUUUGAAAGUUUUUCAGACUCUAGCAAAUCAGCAGAUUUCCACAACUUGCUGCAAAAGCAAACCAGGGUCAGCUAUAUAUAAGGAGAAAACCAAAUCCAUGGGGAGUGAAAGUCUAAAAGUUGCAUUCAAAAGCUAGUUGAAAUCAAGGUAAAAGUUGGGAUUAAUUAAGCUUAGAGGGAAGAUACCUGAUCAAAGGAAUUCUAGUCUUGGAAAGAUUUCGACUCAUAAUUACUGUCAACUUUCUCAAGAUGGCAAAUAUCUUCUCCCCUUCCAUGUAAUUGCUACCAAAUGCUGUUCUGGAAAUCACUUCUGAAGUUAAUAACCUAAAUUCUUGGUACACUUCAAUCUCUUUGCCUUCUUGGCCUUUCCACUUUUCUAGCAUUGUUUCAACACUAGCAAUUAUUGCUGGAGUCAUGUUCUGCCCAAACAAUCCUCCAAUAUGUAAGUAGUAGUGACAUAUAUAAUUGUCAACACAAAAUCAUGAUUUCAAAUUAAAAAAUUUGACAAAUAAACACCUUUUCAAACUAAAUCUUAUUUCAAACUAGAUUUUAAUCUUUUUUUAAAUCUCUGAUUUAAUCUUUUAUUUUACAACAUCAAGUUUAAAAUUGACCUCUUAAGUAGUAAACGGUGUUAAAUUUUUCAAAAGUAGGUUUUUACUACACUUUUUCAACGUCCAUAAUAAACUUAUCCUUAGCUAACAAUACAAAAUUUUACCAAAAUAUUGUAGUCUAUGUAUAAUUCUUGUAAAUUAAUUACACCUAGUUUAUAUAUUUGGAAGACUUACCUUUAGGCUUUCCCCAUGGAAAGUGUGAUUGGCCAGCUUCCGAUGCUUUGCCCAUUUUCCCCCCUCAAUGAAUAUAAGACCAUUCCCCAAGAACUUCCUACCAAUAUCUGAAAGUUUCUUUUUCUGAAAAAUUUGUUCACUAUUUUUCAGAACCUCUUUGACUAAUUCAGGCUCUGAAAUCACCAAUUCAGGUCGAGCACCGUUCCAAUGAACAAAAUUCUUCCCUAAUAACAUGAAAAGAAAAAAGGUCUACCUUUUCUUAGAACUACAAGUUAUAAAUCAUAGUGACAAAAACAAGCAUGGAUCUUACCAUAUCUGUUGGUCCAGGUGUAAAUGUGUGGAUGUACUUUGGGAAAUAGAUCAUCUGUCAAGCCCACAGAUUUGCUUAAAGCUUUUUGUUUCAUUUUGGUAACUUCCUUGUUGUUGCCAUGGAUGAAUCUGUAAGGAGGUCCUUUGAUCCCCUCUGAAUUCAGCAUAUGCUGAAUACGGAGGGGUAUCCAUAGGUAAUCAUAAAGUAACUUUAUUAAAGCUAUGAAGAAGAAACAACAUGGAGCAAGAAUUAGAAGCUUCAUCAACGCAUUCAUUUUUCUUGUCUAAACCAGAACCAUUUCCCCCUUUAUUAUUGCAUAAGGACCAAAAUUGCGUUUGCAAUGACGCAAAUGGGUGCGUUGUACGUUCAGAGUAGCUUGGCCGUAUAUAUGUGAGAAAUUAAUAUUAUAAAAGAUAAUAAAUUCUUUCUUGUUUUUUUUUUUUUAGUAAGAGUAGAUUUUGAAGCUAUUUUUGCAUUUCUACUUCUUGAAAAACUUUCUCCCAUUAUUUUAUUCAUUCUGUCGCAUUUGUUUUACUUUGAAUUUGGAUUUAAGUGAGAAUUUAAAUUUAAUUGAAUUCACUGUGGUCUUUCUAUUUGUAUCCUUCGAGUGGCGGAUUUUGAAAUUUCUAUUGGGAGGUCGAAAUUAAAUUGUAUAUUUUUAUAAUAAUAAAAAAAUAAAUUUAUUAUUUUAAUGGUCUAUAUCUUUGUAAUUUUUAAAGGGUUAAAUUAAAAUUUUCUCAUCAGUAAUAUUUUUUUCACGUAAUUUUAAUUGAGAUCUUAUUCUGAAUACUGUAGAGUUAUACUCACUGUUUUAAAAAACUUGCAACUUCAGUUGCAUCCAACCAUAGCAAGCUUUAGAUAGAAUUACCAUAUUCUAUUGCUCAAAAAUAGAUCUUUCACAGUUAAAUAUUUUGCUUUCAACCCCUUAAUGGGGAUGAUGACAAAAGAAGAUUACAAAGAUAGUCACAAUAAAUUCAUUUUAAUAACAAGAUUAAUUAAUAACUCAAUCCUCCCUUUUUUUUAAUCCUUUUAAAAUAGAUAUUUAUAGCAAUAAUGAUUCAUAUGAAAUAUAAUUUUUUCCUCAUUUACAAUCUCAAUAUGAGAUCCAUUACAAUGAAUAUCUUUUAAAACCUAUGGAUUAAUUAUCACAAUAUAUUAAUAAAUUAGCUCUUCUGGAGCUGUAGACUAAUUUUGUACUACAAAAUAUUUGAAUAAUAUUUGUUUAUUUCAGUACCAAAUAAGAUAAAUAUUUUAUAUCUGUAAUAAUAGAAUUCAUUUCAACAUUCUCAUAUCAUUCCUCAAAAAUAUUAACAGAAACAAAAUAUUUGAUAUACGUAUGUGGCCAAUAAUAUUUCAUAUCAUAUCGAUAACAUAAGUUAUCUUUACCCUUUGAAGAGUUAUCUUUAGAACUCUCAUUGUUCUCUUAUUUAUUACUAUGUUCCCACUUUUAGUGGUCUGUGAUUAUAUAUUUUAUUUUCUUUAUGUUUGUAUUCAUUUCAAGGAAUGCAACAAAUCUAGUAGGACAUACUUCUAAAUGCCUCCAUUGGUUUUUUUUAUUUCAUAAUCACCAUCACAAACAUGCAUAGAUUUCAAAACAAAAUCUAUCUAUUCAUGUUGUUAUGAUUAGUCUUCAAUUAUAAUAAAUAUGAUAUAAUAAAUUAUAACAAUAUAUACCUGAGAUUCUUUAACAUCAUUGUUACCACCCUGGCUAUUAUCACGAGCACUAUUAAUUACAAGUAGUAAAACAAUUUGUUUUCGUAAUAACAUUUAUAAUCUAAUAGUAAAAAAAUCAUUUAAUAAACAAAAUCAAAAUGUUUGUGUACAAUGCUUGAAAGUUAUCUAAUACACAUUGUACCAAAUUUCAAUACCACAUAUAUGUUAUAAAGUCUUUUGAAGCUUCUAAUCAAAUAUUUAUAAAUUUAAUUUAAAAGAUAUAAUACAACCAUUCAACAUUAGAAAGUUAGUAAGACUCAAUAGAUCAACUAUGGUAGGUUAAUAACACUUUCCACUAUAAUUUUAAUCAAAUUACAAGAAUAUUUAAUGACAGGAAUUUAACAAUCAAAUAUUUAAACAUCUAAAUAUUAUUUUAGUUUAAAAGAAACCUUAAAGUAAUAAUACUUUUUUUCAUAAAAUAAAUUUUCCAAAAAUCAAUAAAUAAAGGAGAAAAACAUACCACGGAUUAUAUAAGUUUCUUUGCAUAAAAGGACAUAAAUAAAAUUUAGAGAUUUAGUGUACCUAAUUGGUUAAAAGCUCUAAUGAUUACCCAUAGUGUGCGCAGCAGCUCUAGGAGGCAAUCGGCAACAAUAAAUUUUUGGAUAUUUUUGUGACUUAUGGAGAAAAAUAAUUAAAAAGAGAAUCGUGCUAAUAACGUGUUAUAAAAUAAAAGACAAAGAAUAAAGAACAAGGAGAAUGAGAAUGAGAGUCAGAGAGCAAAGAGAGAGCGUAUUUUAUUAAUGACUCAAUUAGAAUAUUUACAAAGUCUACUUCUAAUGACUAUUAUAAUUUAAAGUACAUCAAAACUUAUAUUAGUCUUGAUGGACAUCCACUUAGUAAUAUAUUCAUAACACUAUUUAAAUAGUGACAUUUUUAAUAAUAAUUAUAACUAUUUAUUAAAAUAAUCAUAUCUCUUAAUUAUUAAUCGAUAGAUACAAUUAUAAUUUUUUUAAUAAUUAUUAAUCAAUUGAUAGAAAGAGUCAAAAGUUGGUUGCUGAUUGUUUUAAUAAAUCCAUCACUCGUGUAAGUUUAUUGUUAUUAGUGGAUACUAUUUCUAGGAGUUGUUGGUAGCAUUAAUUUCUAUUUUUCAACUAUAUUUUUAGCUCAUUUAAGUUUGAAAACAGUUUAUGCAAAAUUAAGAUUAUAUAUCAACUUUUACAUUAUUAUAAUUAUAUUCUUUAAAUUUAAAGUUGGAAUAAAUAUAUUCCAUUAUCAAAUCUAUUGAACAUCUAAAAAAAUUUAAUGAACCAAGAAAUUUUAAUUGAAAUAAAAUAUUAAUAGUUUUACAAAUUUCAAGUUAGGUCACAUAACUACAAAUUUUCAAAAAUAAAAUGACCAAAUGUGUAAUUUAUUUAACUACUAUAAUUUUUUAAAAUAUAUAUUAAAGGUUCUAAAAUAUCUAAAAGGUUUUCUUUUUAAAAAAAUCAAAAAAUAUGAAAGAAGUAAAAACUCUUUGAAAUUCAAUAAAAAGUAAAGUGAAAAAAAAUUGAAGAUUAUAAAAGUUUCUCAAAUUUUGAAGAAAUUUUUUAUUUCAUAUUUAAAAAAAUUAUGCAAUGUGAAAUAUGAAAAAAUAAAGUUGUACUUCUUUCAUAAAAUUAUUUUUCAUUUCUAAAAAUUAAUUUUCUAAAGAAAUUAUUGAAAAAUUAUCGUGAAUUUGCAAUUUACUCUUUUAUUUUUAUUUUUAAGAAUUUUAUCUUAUUUUUCGAAUUUAAAAAUGUAAGUCUACUAGAUAAUACUGCUAAAAUUCUUUCUUUAAAUACAAAUAUUUCACAAACAUCAUAUUUUGUUACAUAACUAUUAAAUUAAUAAUUUCUUUUAAUUUUAAAAUAAAACAGUUAACAAAUUUAACAAUAUUAACGAAUAAAUAAAUAGGAUGAAUAACUAUUUAAAGCCAAAACUUACAAUUAACGGCGUGUAACUAUGUUGAAAAUAAAAUGGCCUUGGCGCCAUAGAGACAACGUAUCGUGGCAAACACUAGAAUCGGCAUCUUUACCACGUGGGUCGAUUUUAACACGUUUAUUAUUUAAUGAUAUUUUUUGAAUUCUUCUGGAAAUUUAGUUUUUUUUUUUUAUACUUUUACUGUCAAUAUAAUAAUUAAUUUUAAUGUAUUUAAAUAUUUUUUAAGUGUUGAUUGAGUCUUUAACUCAAUUGAUAUGGGUAUGUUGUCAAUGUAGGAGGAUAUGCACUGAAGCGCAUUAUCUUCCUUUUUAUGAGUUUGGGAGCGGUUAUGCUUAGUUUUAGAUAUUGUGUUAAAAAAAUAUGAUCAGAACUUAUAAUAAGAUUAUUCAAAAAGUUAUGUCAAAAUUUAGUUUAAAUUUUCUAUUAGGAUUUUAUCAUUCCAAAUUUUGAAUUGGACAAAUCGUUUUACCGUUCAUUUUCAGGAUUCAUGAUUAUCCUAUUUAAUUAUGUCAUUUUCAAUGUUUGAACGUAUAUUAUUUUCUUAAAAGUGUGAAAUGUAAUAUAUUUGAGGUUUUUAAAAAGAAUUUUUUUAAAUUUAAAAUAAAUUUGAAAGAAAAUCAAAACAUGAUAGAACAUUGAUUUUAAAACUUGAAGGUGAAUUAGAUAAGAAUAGUGGUGAGGAUGGAGAUUUUAGAGAGAGAAUGCUUCAUUAAAAAAUAGUUAAUUCAACUCUUAAUAAUUAGGCUAAUUAUUGUUUAUUAAUGAAAUGUAUUCAACAUUGAGUGAUGUAUUAUAAAAAUAUCAAUUUUUAAAAGAAUUUUUUAUAAUAUUUCUUUAUAAAAUAAUAUAUAAAUAUUAAAAGUUAGUGUGAGAACAAAAUGAACUCUUAAGAUAUUCUUUUCUAAUUAUAUCAAUUUUUAUUAUUAAUUAUUUCUUUUCUACACCCAAGUGAUCUAUUUGUUUAAAAAGUCAGAAUUUUUUUUAUGAUUCUAUAUCAUGAGUUGCGAAAACUUCUAGAUAGAUAUCCUACAUCUAAACUAAAUUCUUUCUAAUUAAAGAAUUUCAUUCUAGGUACUCUUGAACAAUUAAGAGAUUCUCUAGAGGAAAUACGAGGUUCUGCUUUUGGAGGCAACAUUAUGGGGUGGUGUUCUUGCUUAUGGGGUUAAAUCAAUAUGAUUUAAGAAGAAAUAUUUGAAUAUCAAUAUCAUCGAUAUCAUUGAUCUCAUAAAUAUCGUACCAAAUCUCAUCAAUCGAACCAUUAUUUUGAGAGAUACGAGAUAUCUAAGUCAUACAAGUAAAUAGAUCUACUUAUUGAUAAGAAAAAAAAACGUGAACAAUGAUUGGAUUGAAGACGAAAUAGAACCCUAUGAAAUCAUCUUUCCGGCGAAGUUUUACAUGAAGAAGGUUUGCCUGAACAUUACGGGUACCUAGCACUUUUUUCCAUCAAAAGUUUCUCCCCUUGAUACUGCAAUUAUCAUUCCACCCAACACUUGUUCGUUACUUUUUGUUAAUAUAUUUUAUUUGGAUAUCCUAUCUUAGCUAUAAGCUUGUUAAACAACUUUUUAAAAAGUAAAUUUUAUAUUAUAGAUAAUGUAAGCAGAACCAAUCUGAAGAUUAUCAUAACCUUAGCCUCACACAGUCACUUAACACACACUAACCUUUUCUUUCCGAAUGCUAUAACAACUCUCGACCAUCUUCCAACUGAAUGCUUAAAUGGGCUAGGAAUAGCAAAAAAUAUAGUUUAGGAAAAGAAAACAAAGCACCAAGGUGGAUUAGCUUAAGUAGUCUGUUAGAACUAAAUUUAUCAGAAACUUGCAACCUCAUUGCUUGCUAGAGUGACUUUAGGAUGAUAACACUGCAAUUCAAAUGAAAUAUGAGCAGAAUGGUGAAGUAAAAUGCAUUAUAAUAUAACUGUUUACUUGCUGGAAUAUGCGCCAUAUGAAGGAUGUAUUGUUUAAUCACAUGUUUUACCAUCUAAGGAAACUAGCAAAUGCAUAGAUUUCUUUUUGUUUAGAGGAGGGCGUAGCUUAGGAAUAGGGAAGGGGUUGUUUAUACUAAAAACCUGUUGGAAACGUGAUGGGCCGAAAAUUUACUUUUUAUUACACACUCAAUAUAUUACAAUACGAAGAUUACAAAUAUUUUCUCAAUGACUAGAUAGUCUAGCUGCUGCUAGAUUUUAACUCACUCAAGGUUUGCUAACCUUCUCACUCUCACUCACGUUGCUUCUCUUAUUUCUUUUUUCUUCUCAUUUUUCUUUAUUACAACACAAGUUCAAGCCUCUAUUUAUAGGCUGAUAAAGUGACAACAAAUGUGGCUAUUAAUCCACUUAAUUUCCAGCCACAAAACAUCUCAAUAAUGGAGCACUUUGUAUGGCUAAAAUUUCAGCACUUUGCAUGGCACAAAAUUGCUCCACGUCUCAUGCUUCUAGAUUAUGCUUGGAGUGGGUUUGAUUUCUAACACUCCCCCUCAAACCCAACUUUCAUACCGAGCUUCUCUUUGAAUUUGUUGAAUGUCUCCACUUUCAACGGCUUUGUGAAAAUAUCUGCCAGUUGAUCUUCUGUCCUGCAAUGGACCAACUCCACGUUUUUGUUUUUCACUUGCUCUCGGAUAAAAUGAUACUUCGUAUCGAUGUGCUUGCUUCGGCUGUGCGACACCGGAUUCUUGGCAAGUGAUAUAGCGGAUUUGUUGUCAACGUAGAUGGUAAUUGGACCUUCAUUUGAAACACCUAUUUCUCCCAAAAUAUUCUUCAACCACAUUGCUUGGCAUGUACAAGUUGCUGCGGCCAUAUACUCUGCUUCACAUGUUGAGAGAGCAAUUGUUUGUUGCUUCUUUGACGACCAUGAAAAAACUACGGAACUGAUGUGGAAUGCAUAUCCGGAAGUGCUUUUCCGAUCAUCCAAGUCUCCCCCAUAAUCGCUAUCUGAGUAGCCAACUAAUUUUGAAUCUUGUGAGUGGGUAUAGAAUAAACCAUGGUUCAUCGUACCUUUGAUAUAUCUCAAAAUUCUUUUUGCGGCAAUUAAGUGGUCUUGCUUCGGCUUCUCCAUGAAUCUGCUCACCAAUCCUACUGCAUAUGUAAUAUCUGGUCGUGUGAUUGUCAAAUACCUUAAACUUCCAACGAGACUUUUAAACAACGUCGGAUUUAUCGACUCCCUUGUCGAAUCAACACUUAGCUUCAUCCCUGGAUCAGCUGGCGUGACUACUGGCUUGCAAUCCUUCAUUUUGAACUUGUUCAAAAUCUGCUCCGCAUACUUCUUUUGAGAGACAAAAAUUCCAUCUUGCAUUUGUUUCACCUCGACUCCAAGAAAGUAUGACAUCUCACCGAUAUCUGUCAUUUCAAAUUCUUUAGUCAUAGCUUUCUUAAAAUCAUCAGACAUACCUGGAUUGUUUCCGGUGAAGAUCAUGUCAUCCACAUAUAGGCAUACGAUCAUGAUAUCUCCAUAUCCAUUCUUCUUUGUGUACAGGGUGUGCUCGUGCGGGCUUUUGAUGAAUCUAUUUCUUCGGAAGUACUCGUCGAUCCUUGUGUUCCAUGCUCUUGGGGCUUGCUUCAAUCCAUACAAAGCUUUCUUCAAUCGGUAGACUUUGUCCUCCUUUCCUUGUAUGCUAUAUCCAGGUGGUUGUUCUAUGUAGACUUCCUCCUCCAAGUAGCCAUUCAGGAAUGCAGACUUGACGUCCAUCUGAUAGAUUUUCCAUUUGUAUUGUGCUGCGACCGCUAUGAGAAGCCUAAUUGUGUCUAUUCUUGCGACUGGAGCAAAUAUUUCAUCAUAGUCCACUCCUUGUCUUUGCUUGUAGCCUUUGGCGACUAGUCUUGCCUUGUAUUUCUCUACUUUUCCUUCUUUGUUGGUCUUCGUCUUGUACACCCACUUGACACCAAUCGGGCUAUGUCCUUCUGGCAGACUUGUUAGCUCCCACGUGUCAUUCCUUCUUAUUGCAGCAAUCUCCUCGUCCAUGGCCUUCUUCCAUUUAUUGUUUUCAAUUGCUUCUUCGUAUGUCACUGGAUCACAUUCUGUCAUUAGACAGAAUAGUGAAUAAUCGAACUGCGUCUCUACAGGUUCCGUAGAAUUGUAGAUGUCGUUGAGACUCCGUGUUCUUGUGGGUGCUUCAUCUGAGCUGCUGCUUCCGCUGCUGCUGGUUGGUGACGAAGGGGCUGUUGUACCAGGACUUUGAUCAUCGCCUUGUUCUUCUUGGUUAUUGUCGUCUUCGUUGAAAAAUAAUCCUUCCACUUUCUUUUCUUCUUCACUCCAUCUCCAGUAAUCCGCUUCAUCGAACUCGACAUCUCUUGAGAUAAUCAAUUUCUUAGUAAGAGGAUUAUAAAGUCUGUAGGCCUUACUUCUUUUGUCAUAGCCUAUAAAGAUACACUUCUCUCCUCUAUCGUGUUUACCUUUUAUCAUGCUUCUUGCCAUAUCCAGAAUUGUCCGAUUCUUCCUUUCUGCAACUCCGUUUUGUUGUGGAGUGCGUCUGGCUGUUAACUGAUGAAUGAUUCCAUGAUCCUUGCAGAAACUUUCAUAAAGCUUUGCAGUAUACUCGCCUCCUCUAUCGGAUCUGAGUAUCUUCAAAUAUCGACCUCUCUGUUUUUCCACCAUUGCUUUGAACUCCUUGAAUUUUUCUAGGGCUUCCGAUUUUGCUUUGAGAAAAUAAACCCAACAUUUUCUGCUAUAAUCAUCAAUAAAAGUUAGGUAGUACCUGUUUCCACCGAGUGAUUCAAUGUCGUACGGACCAGAUAUGUCGGUGUGUACAAUUUCCAAUGGUCUUCUAGCUCUUCGAGAUUUUCUUACUUCAAAUUUCUGCCUAUGCUGCUUUCCUUUGACACAGGCUUCACACAGUUGAUCUGGAUGAUUAAUACUUGGUAAUCCAUUCACCAUAUUUGUCUUCGACAACAGCUUCAAGCCAGAAAAUCCGAGAUGUCCGUACCUUAAGUGCCACAACCAUGAUUCAUUCUUCAGAUCCGUCUUCAUGCAUUUUACUUCUCCAGACUCGAUGUCGAGGGUGAAAAGACGAUUUCGCGUCAUAUCAACUCGAACAACUAAUUCUUCACUUUUGUUCCUGAUGGCGAGUGAGCGGUCUUUCAUAUGAACUUCAUAUCCUUUUUCUAGGAGUUGACCAAGACUGAUCAGGUUGCUCUUCAAAGCUGGUACGUAGUAAACGUCUGAGAUGUACUUCUUCUCUCCAUUCCUUUGUGUUAUAACAACCUUGCCCUUUCCUUUGAUUUCUGCAUGUGAGUUGUCUCCAAAAGUUAUUUGUCCAUGAACUGUUUCAUCUAAUUCUGUGAACAGCUCCUUUCUUCCACACAUGUGGUUGCUUGCACCGUUGUCGAGAUACCACACACUUCUCUUGCGAUCUUCAUUUUCUCCGUAAGUGAGAAAGACACUUGAUUCCACUUUUUCGUUGCCUUCUGCUGCGACUGCUACAUGGUUUCUUUCAUCCACUUUGUGUGUUGAUCUGCACUCGUAACUGAAAUGUCCAUACUUGUUACAGUUGUAGCAUUGUACCUGAGAUUUAUUUUCUUGAAAUCUGCCUCGGCCACGACCUCUAGAUCCACGUCCACGGUUGGAUGUUUGAUAAUCUUUAUUUUCUUGAUAUCUCUCAUAUGAUUGAUUUCCACGUCCUCGUGAUCCUCUUCCUCCUCUGUUUCCACCACGGUAGCCUCCACGGUAUCCUCUGCGGUUUCCUCUUCCUUGGUUAAAGUUAUUACUUGUUUCUCCGUCGUCGACGGACAACUUGCUAUGCAAGGCUUGAUUAAGAUUUUCACUAUCUUCAUUUAGCUUCAUCUUUUGCUCAUGGGCUUGCAGAGAACCCACAAGUUCUUCGAGCGACAUCUUUGACAAAUCUUUUGAUUCUUCGAUGGCAACGACUACGUACUCGAAUUUGCGUGUGAGUGACCGUAGAAUUUUCUCCAUCACUCUUACCUCGUCAAGAGUUUCUCCAUUUCGUUUCAUUUCAUUUACCACCGAUUUUACACGAUUGGCAUAGUCAUCGAUAUUCUCGGAGCUCUUCAUUUUUAACAUUUCAAAUUCAGCUCUAAGUGACUGAAGGCGUACCUUUUUAGCUUUUUCUACACCUUGAAAUGAUUUUUGCAAAAUCUCCCAUGCAUUCUUCGCGUUCUUCACAUCUGAUAUUUUCUCGAAGGUUGAUUCAUCCAUACCUUGAAAGAUACUAUUCAAGGCCUUUUGAUCCUUCUUUCGUGCUUCUCGUAACGCCUUCUUAGCGUCAUUUGAUAAAGCUGCUUCUGUAGCGGCAUCUCCGGGCUCGAUGUAUCCUUUUUCAACGAUCUCCCAACAAUCUUGCGAACCGAGCAAAGCCUUCAUUCGAAUGCUCCAAUUUCCAUAAUUUGUCUUCGUCAAUUGUGGAACUUGUAGCUGAAUUACGUCGCCCAUAUCGACUUGUUAGAUGAACACCAAAGGUACUCCGAACUGGACACGAACCGGACACGAACCGAACUCCGAACCAAGCUCCGAACCGUAGCUCUGAUGCCACUUGUUGGAAACGUGAUGGGCCGAAAAUUUACUUUUUAUUACACACUCAAUAUAUUACAAUACGAAGAUUACAAAUAUUUUCUCAAUGACUAGAUAGUCUAGCUGCUGCUAGAUUUUAACUCACUCAAGGUUUGCUAACCUUCUCACUCUCACUCACGUUGCUUCUCUUAUUUCUUUUUUCUUCUCAUUUUUCUUUAUUACAACACAAGUUCAAGCCUCUAUUUAUAGGCUGAUAAAGUGACAACAAAUGUGGCUAUUAAUCCACUUAAUUUCCAGCCACAAAACAUCUCAAUAAUGGAGCACUUUGUAUGGCUAAAAUUUCAGCACUUUGCAUGGCACAAAAUUGCUCCACGUCUCAUGCUUCUAGAUUAUGCUUGGAGUGGGUUUGAUUUCUAACAAAACCCCGGAUAUCUUAAAUGUUACCUCUUAAAGGUGAAUGUUGUAACAAACAGAGUUGAAUCCCAUGUCCUUAGCUGUUGUGUACAUCAAUCAUUGUUAUGCAAUGGUUCAAGUAUUACUUGAAUUCCAUGUUGCGGUUGAAGGUCGACAAUAGGCAUUGGUGAGUGGACAUAGGCAGGGGAGAGGGUAAAGGUGUAGCGUUGUAGAAUCAUGGAGAGCACAAUCUUCGUUUCUGUGGUUGCAAAGGACAUACCAACACAAGAUCGAGGUCCUAAUCCAAAGGGAAAAAAUGCAGCUGCAUUGUAAUUGGUAGAUUUGGCAAUCCCUUUUGCAAAUCUCUCUGGUUUAAAAAGAUGCACAUCAUCUCCCCACAGGUAAGGGUCAUGGUGAAGUGCAAUAUUUUGGACCAGAAGAUCUAUGUUAGAAGGCAAGACUAGUUUUCCCAGCUGCACUUCUCUUGCAACUCCUCUUGGUAGGCCAUUUGAUGGACCAUAUAAUCUUAGAGUUUCAUAAAUAAUCAUAGUCAUCUGUUUGCAUAACAGGAAUAUGUCAAAUCAAAUUAAAGAAUAUAAUGUACUAAAUGCAUAGUAUUUGUUGAAUUUGCAAUUGCGAUAAACAUGACCUGACUAAAAAACCUGAGAUUGAGAUACAAAAUAUUUUGGAAUGUUGGACAGUAUACUUACAAUUUUGAGUUUAGAAAUGCCUUCAGAAUCUGGAUUUCGGUUACCGAAUAUGUCAAUCACCUCUCUUCUAGCUUUCUCCUGCCAAUCUCCAUGGGUUGCUAAAAGCAAGACUAUCCAUGCUAGUAAGGAAUUAAUAGUUCCUUGUCCAGCAAAGUAAAAUGUUUUGCACUCAUCUACCAAGUCUUCCAUUGAUAGACUGUUAUUAUCUUUCGAAUGAUAGGAAUUUACAAGUAAUCCUAGAAAAUCAUUACCAAAACUAUCAGCUUCUCCUUUCUUAAAUUUGUCUUCCCUUUUCUUAACAAUCUUCAUCACACAAUCUUGUAUUCCUUUUGCAAGUUCUUCUGACCUUAGCAUAUCAGCAGGUUUCCAUAACUUGCUGUAAAAAACAAACCAGCUGUGUCAACCAUAUAUAAGGAGAAAACUGAAUCCAUAUGGAUAAACAUCCUAAAAUUUGCAUUCAAAAACUAGUUAAAAUCUUGGAACAUACUUGAUGAGAGGAAUUUCAGUCUUGAAAUUAUUUCGAUUCAUAAUUACAGACAACUCUUUCAACAUGGAAAGGAUCUUCUCCCCUUCCAAGUAAUUGCUACCAAAAGCUGUUCUGGAUAUCACUUCUGAAGUCAAUAAUCUAAAUUCUUGAAACACUUCAAUCUCUUUGCCUUCUUGGCCUUUCCAUUUCUCUAGCAUUGUUUCAACACUUGCAAUUACUGCUGGUAUCAUGUUCUACCCAAACACUUGCAAUUAGAGUUUCAUAAUAAUCAUAGUGAUCUGUUUGCAUAACAGGAAUAUGUCAAAUCAAAUUAAAGAAUAUAAUGUCCUAAAUGCAUAGUAUUUGUUGAAUUAGCAAUUGCGAUAAACAUGACCUGACUAAAAAACCUGAGAUUGAGAUACAAAAUAUUUUGGAAUGUUUGACAGUAUGCUUACAAUUUUGAGUUUAGAAAUGCCUUCAGAAUCUGGAUUUCGGUUACCGAAUAUGUCAAUCACCUCUCCUCUAGCUUUCUCCUGCCAAUCUCCAUGGGUUGCUAAAAGCAAGACUAUCCAUGCAUGUUUCUUCUCUUAACACUGAAUCCAGAUGGUCCUUUUGUUUUUUUGUUUUUUUUUUUUUUUGAAAAAUGUAAUUUUGUGAUGGCACCUGAAUGUCCAUUACGCUACGCCAUUGUUAAAAACAUCAAGAUUAGAUGUGAAAGUAAAUGUGAGACAUUAUUAUGAGCCAAAAUAUCAGGUCUAUUACGAGUUACAAUUAAUGAGGAGGACUGAACUAAUUAUUUAAGUGUUUUUCAUCGUUGUCUUGCAAGUAAAAGUUGCCAAAUAUUAGAAAACACAUUUUGCUGGAGAUAGACGGAAACAAUAUUGUCGGGAACUAUGGACAAAGAGCAAUAUCACCACGUGGGUGCGCUUUAAUAUUUUUAUUUUUUUUAAAUAAUAUAUAUUUUCUAUUAUUGGCUACUAGGAUUUUUUCGGCCCACUUUGUCAUUUGAAUUUAACAAUUAGGUCUAUUUUAAUUUUUGAACAUGAAAAUUUUAAAAGUUUGAUGAUGUGACAUGAUCAUAUAUAUUACUUGAAAAUUAAAAAAAAUUAUAUAAAUUUUCAGGUGAUGAUAUGAUACAAUCUCACAGUAUUGCAUUCAGUGUUUUAAUAAUCGGACCAAUGGUUAAAAGAUCAAACCAUUGAUUUCUUAUUCAAUCGGUUCGACUACUAGACCAAUAAUAAUUAAUUAAUUAAUUAAAAAUUCCUAAAAAUCUAAAAAUAAUUUUAAAAUAAUUUUUUAAAUUGUCGAUUUUUAACUAAUUCCCGAUUCAAUCAAUUCAACCCCUUUGUUUGGACCGUUAUACCAAUCGCUUUUCAGUCUAAUUAAUUUGACCGAAUGAUUUGAUUUUGCUUCAAUAACACCGAUCACAUCUUCAAAAAUUGAUAGAAUUCAAGUUCAGUGACCACUUGAAUUUACUUGCCAAGCUUAGUUAUAAAAUUGGACAAAAAUAAUACAAUAUUAAAGUGCAUCUAAUUGCCAAGUUGAGGGCCAAAAAUUAUAUUAUCUAUACUAUUAUUUAAGUCUCUAACUGAAUUGGUGUCACGAGUCAACCGAACACCAAUUCAGUUAGAGAAAUUACGAAAAUAUUCUUCCAUAAUUAGAAUAAGUUAUAUUGUUCGAGGGUAGUUUAAUCUUUUUAUUUUAAAAAAAUAAUUAAAAAUGAAUAUGAGGGGAUUUGAACCUAUAACAAUCACAAUAAUAAAACUUCAAGUUUAUCACCAUCAAAACAUUAUUUUAAUAUUGUUUAUGUACUUUUAUUUUAAUAUGCAUAUUUUAUUAUAUUCAUCAAUUGUAUCUAUAAUUAUUGUCGAAACUUUUUUUUUUGAAAUUGACUUUAUUUUGAAAACGAAGAUGGAGUUGCCAUCAACAUUUUUUACUUAGGUGUGAUUGGAUCACCUCAAAACUCAGCCAUUUUAAUAAAACGUUUGAUUUGUUAAAACGAUAAUAUCCAGUCUUACAAAUCUGGAAAAAAAGGGUUCAGGAGUCAGUUACGUAUGAGGAAGGAUUACCACUCUCAUAACGCCCAAAAUUGGUACCUAGUUGAUUACUUGAUGUUUUGAUGUCGGAAGUUGAAAAUUCGAAGAGAAAUUAAACUAUGAUCCCUCUCUGUUUGCAUGAUGUUCUUUAAAACCAAUUAGCUAAAUUAAAUUUUACGAAAAGGCAUUAUUAUGAGUUAGUUGAGGAGAAAAGAUCGUAACCCUUGAGUUAAGACACGAUGCUUGGAAUCCUCGGAAACCAGAACAAUCACCAUUUGAUCUUAUUUUAAGUCUUGUUUUUAUUUUUUUAGAAAAAUAAAUAAAUAAAUAAAUAAAAUGGAUAUUCGAUUACUUUGGUUUUAGAAAGAUGUCAUACUCCGUAAGUUAAGAGCACAACUCUUCGAAUCCAAAAAAUAAUGAACAUUGCCUUGAUUUUAAAAAUUUAUUAUGUAUUACGUAAAACGAAUGUAACUUUUAAAACGAUAUACAUUUAUUUGGGCAAAGUAAAAAAUGAUAAAUACAUUGUGAUAUGACCCAUGGAAUAGUGAUAGCAAAAUAAAAUGAAAUAGUCAUGUAGGUAAAAAAAAGAAAUGACGAUAUUAGGAUAAUAAUCAAAAAAAAUUAAAUAAAAUGAAAUAAAAUAAAUGAGAAAAUUAAAAAUUAAAAAUAAAAUAAAAGAAACAUGUUGGUAAAUAAUAAUAAUGCAACUAUAAUAGUAAUAAGAAUAUCGAUUUAUAAUAAUAAUAGUGAUAAUCAUAUCGUAACUAUUAUCAUAAUAACAGGAGUAAAUAAAAUAAUAAUAACUAUGAUAAGAUAAAAAUAAAAUGUGUAAAUAAAAGAAAAUAUAAAUAACAUAAAUGUUAAAUACUAAAAUAAAUAAUAUAGUAAAUAAAGAGGCAAAAUUAACCAAAUAAGGGAUUAAAUCUAAAUUUAAGAGAAACUUGAAGCAUAAAUCGCAAAAUAAAUAAAGAAAACGGAAUAAAGAACUAAAUUUAAAAUAUAACAAAACUAACAUUCUAAAUUAUAAAGAAAAAGAAUUUGAAGGAUUAAAUUAAAAUAAGAUAAAAAUUAGGGGGUUAUAUGGAAAUUAUCCCCCAUAUAUAGACACGUGUCACUCCCCCAAUGGGUUUAUAGUGGGUCAGGGAACUAAAUUGCACAAGGAUUUAAAUUAUGGGGCGAAAAUUAAAACGAAUAAAAAUCGAUAGGACUAAAUUGAAAAUUACAAAAAAUUGGAAGGGCCAAAGAAGGAAUUAGACCCCCCAUAAAAAGCGCGGAUCCUGAGGGGGUCGGGUCGGGUCGGCGAAUCUGGACCAAAACGACGCUGUUUUGGUUUUAUGGAACCAGGCCAAAACGACGCCGUUUCAAUACUCUAUUUAAGUUAAAAUUUUCCCAAAAAAUUCAUUUUUCAUUUGUUUUUUUUUUUAAAAAACCCCUCCCUUUUUUUUUCUCUAGAUGUUUUUUGUUAGGCAGGCUAUGUGGACGGCGGACCUCCGUCGUGGCCGCCGGUCGUCGGCGACGGUGACCGCCGUUUCUGGUGGACGAAAAAUCACAAGUUAAUAAAAAUCAAUAAAAAUAUAUUUAUAGUGGGUUUGAACCCAAUAUUGAUUAUAACACCAUGAUAAACAAACUUUAUGUUGUUGAGGUUGGAUGAUGCAUUAUGGUGUUUUGUGCCUUUUAUGGGCCUACUGAUUGGUUGAGGCUGUUAUUUUAUUGAAUAUGGCUUCUGUCUUUUUUUGUAUGUUGUGAUUAUAGAAUUGAAUUUGAGUCUAUUCAUUGUGUUAUGGUUGAAGGUGUCUCUCGAAGUGGAUGCUUUGGUGAUUUUAAAGUAUGGUUAUCGUCAGUCUUAAGAGCUACAGUGGGGUGGUUUGAAAGUUUUAUGGGAGCCGAUAUGACAUUGAGUUUCCUUUGCUAUCGGUUCCAUUGAGAUUUUUUCUAGGCUGUUGGUCUUGAUAAGGUGUUGCUGGUGUUGGCUCUGUUUUAGGUUUCUUAUCUGCUGAUAACUGAUGGUGUCUAAAGCUUUUUCAAGGUUUGAUGGAUCGUUUUCUUACUUGGGGUGAGGCCCAAUGCUUGCUCGUUGAUUUAUGUAAAGUUUUUUUUUUUAAGCAAGGGCGAUCACUAUAGUUAGUUGCUUGGUUCUGGAUUAUGGGUGGAGCUGCUGUUGGUCAUAGUUUCUGAUAUGGUGUUUGCCAUGUUGAGAAGGGUUUCGUAGUAGUGCUUGUUUCAGAUAUAACUUGCUCUCUCGCUUCUUGUUUUCUGCUCCGGGCUAUGGUUUUCUGGCAUUGGUAAAGUGUGCUUUUCUUGUGGUGAUGUCAUAUUGGUGUAUGUUAAUUGUGCAGUUCAGCAGAUUUUGUAAUUGCUCUUGCAAGGACUUGUAUCAUCCACUGUUAAGUGGUUGCCUCUUUUAAUAAAUUUAUUAUCUUAUUUCGAGUUCAAAAACUUAUUUCUGAAUAAGAAUUUUACGGGAAUUACGAGUUUCAUACUUUGAUUCAAGUUUAAAUCAUAUUUAGUUCGAUUUAAUAUUUAAUUUUGAUUAUAUAUAAUCACAUUAAUGUAUUUAUGAAAUUUUAUAUUUUAGGAAUUUAUUUCGACUUUAUUCAUAUUUUAGCUCUUAAACUAUACUCGUUUUCUCACAUUUAUGUUUAAAUUUUUUUUACUCGGAACUUUCUUCUAGUUAAUAUUUUUAGUCUAGAAGCCAAUUAGAUUUAACCAUGUGUUUCAUAUUUUCCAGGUGUGUAUGAUAAUUUUUUUAAUAAAAAAUGAAAUUAUUUAAUUCAAUAAUAUUAUUUCGUUUUACUUAUUUCUACUUUAUUUUCAUUUUUAAUUAAUUUCGGUUGUUUAUUUAUUUUUCAGAUUUAACCCCUCUUAUUUUUUGUACAGGUUCGCACAAGUCAUGGGCACAAAAACUACUUGGGACACGUUCUAGUUAUAAAGAAUAUAGAUUUGGAUAGAUUAACUUUUGUGAGAUCGAUUCAACUCUCUAUACUAUAAAUUUAAUUUCAGUAUCAGGCAGAAAAAUUUAUUUUUAGUAGAUUUGACACCAAUCAAGGAGAACAUAUCUACAUCUAUUAUGCUUUGCCCAAAGUUUAAACAAGCCUUAGUAUAACCAGUAGUUUAAGAAAAACCAAUCCAUUAAUAAACAUGAAAUUGGAUGUACAAAAUCUUCAAAAAGAUACAAGCAAAUAAUCAAAAAUAUUUAUUUUAAACAAGCUAACAAAUAAGGGACACGUGCCAAGUGCAGUUGUCAUUUUUCAAGUCACUGCUCCCAAAACUUGCCUCAACAUAUUCUUCUUUAUUGAUUGCGUUUUACCACCUUGGAAAUCAGUAGCUAUUUGAAUUUCAUUUUGUAUAAAGGUGGGUAUAGCUUAGGAUAGGGAAGGGGAUGCAAAUGCUGGAACCUUAAACAUAUUAAAUGUCAUCUCUUAAACCUAAAAUACAUGAACCACGUUAAACCCUUAGUUCUUAACAGCUAUGUACUUCAAGCAUUAUGAUGCAGUGGUUCAAGUAUCACCUGAAUUUCAUGUUGUGGUCUAAUGCUGAGAAUAGAUAUCGGAGAGUGGAUAUAGGCAGGGGAGAGGGUAAUGGUGUAACGUUGUAGAAUCAUGGAGAGAACAAUCUUGGUUUCUAUUGUUGCAAAUGUCAUACCAACACAAGAUCGAGGUCCCAACCCGAAGGGAAGAAAUGCAGCCGCGGUGUAAUUGGUAGCUUUGGCAAUCCCUUCAGCGAAUCUCUC